UGUGACUAACCUCUUAGGACCCAACGUGGUUGGGGACCAACAAGCUCAAACUUGAUCAAUAGGUUAUUGUGGAGGACAUUGGAGACUUGGAUACAUAAUGAAGAAUUAAGGGGUCUUCAUCAUUCAUAUUAUCUCAAGCCAAGUCAUUUGGAUUAUCGAUUUUCUAUCUUAUAUCCAAUGUUCCUCCUUACGGUAACUUAUACUUAAACUAUUUACAUUGUUAGUUACUUGCCCUUUGCAUGUUGUGGUUUUGUACCUUGCAUGUGUUUGUACCCCCCCCCCUGUUGUGCUUCCAACUUUCUUAUCUUAAGUAAUCUAGUAUGUGUAUGUUGGUUUGCACAUCAUGUACAUGUGAGUCUUGUAUUGAGCCUUUUUGCAUCUUGUUUGUAUCUUUGUUGGCUCUUGUGAGAGAUUAAUGGAUUAUCCCAUUGUGGGGGAGUGAUGUGCUUUGCACACCUCACAAUACUAUAAAUGUGUAUACAUGGGUGAUACGUCUCAAACGUAUCUAUAAUUUUUGAUGGUUUCACGCUGUUAUCUUGUCAUCUUUGGAUGUUUUAUUUACCUUUUAUAUCUUUUUUGGGACUAACUUAUUAAUUCAGUGCCAUGUGCCAGUUCCUGUUUUUUCUGUGUUUUUGGCUCUUUUCAGAUCUGAUUUUGGAACGGAGUCCAAACGGAAUAAAAUCCCCGAAAUGAUUUUUUCCUGAACGGAAGAAGAUCAGGGGGCCAGUGGGCCAAGCCAGGAGGGCUCCUGGGAGCCCACAAGCCCCCACUCCGCCACCAGGGGGGAGGCGGCGGUGGCAGGGCUUGUGGCCUCCCUCGCCGCCCCCUCACCUAGAUCCUUACCCUAUAUAUUCUCUAAAAUACAGCAAAAUAUCAAGGGAGCCUCGAAAAUACUUUUCGCCGCCGCAAGCUUCCAUUUCCCGGCACCCUACCGGAGGGGACUUUGGAGUUGGAGGGCUUCUUCAUCAUCAUCAUUGCCCCUCCAAUGACUCGUGAGUAGUUCACUUCAGACCUACGGGUCCGUAGUUAGUAGCUAGAUGGCUUCUUCUCUCUCUUGGAUCUUCAAUUCAAAGUUCUACAUGAUCUUCAUGGAGAUCUAUCCGAUGCAAUCUUCUUUGGCGGUGUGUUUGUCGAGAUCCGAUGAAUUGUGGAUUUGUGAUCAGAUUAUCUAUGAUAUAUAUUUGAGUCUUUGCUGAUUUCUUAUAUGCAUGAUUUGAUAUCCUUGUAAGUCUCUCCGAGUCUUGGGUUUUGUUUGGCCAACUAGAUCUAUGAUUCUUGCAAUGGGAGAAGUGCUUGGUUUUGGGUUCUACCAUGUGGUGACCUUUCCCAGUGACAGUAGGGGCAGCAAGGCACACAUUAAGUAGUUGCCAUCAAGGGUAACAAGAUGGGCUCUGUCGUUGAUAUGAGAUUGUCCAUCUACAUCAUGUCAUCUUGCUUAAGGCGUUACUCUGUUCUUUUGGACUUAAUACACUAGAUGCAUGCUGGAUAGCGGUCGACGUGUGGAGUAAUAGUAGUAGAUGCAGAAAGUAUCAGUCUACUUGUUUUGGACAUGAUGCCUAUAGAUAUAAUCAUUGCCAUAGAUAUCGUCACGACUUUGCGGGGUUAUAUCAAUUGCUCGACAGUAAUUUGUUCACCCACCGUCUACUUGCUUUCAUGAGAGAAGCCACUAGUAAACACUACGGCCCCCGGGUCUAUUCACAUCCAUCGUUUACACCUCCGCUUUUACUUUGCUUUGUUACUUUGUUGCUUUCAGUUCUCACUUGGCAAACAAUCUAUAAGGGAUUGACAACCCCUUCAUAGCGUUGGGAGCAAGUUUUUGUGUUUGUACAGGAUCUUGUGAUACUCCUCCACUGGAUUGAUACCUUGGUUCUCAAACUGAGGGAAAUACUUACCAUCGCUGUGCUACAUCACCCUUUCCGCUUCGAGGGAACACCAACGCAAGGCUCCAAGGCCACGGGGGAAAUCCUUUGCAUACUUUCCUAGGAAGUCCCUUAAGGCGUAGCCGCGGCAGAAGGAUUCCUGGUGCCGUCGACACGACUAUUCUUGGCGCCGUAGUCAAGGAAGCACAACUGACAUCAGAAGUAUUUAUGGCGAUGUUGCCGGGGAGGAGAGAUGAAGAUCUAUCCAAGUAGGUCUCACAAACUCAUCUCUUGCAUUUACUUUUGUUGCCAGUUGCCUCUCGUUUUCCUCUCCCCCACUUCACAUUUGCCUUUCUCCUUUGCCUUUCUCUUUUGUCGUUUUCUUUUGCCCGUUUCACUCUCUCUUCCAGCUCGUUUGUGUGUGAGAUAGUCCAUCAAUGGCUAGACCCACCACUCCAAAUGACACCCCUGAAAAUGGAGUUCUCAAUUUCAGGCAAAAUGAGGAAGAAAAUUUGAAGGAUGCUUGGUACAGGAUUUGCAAUGCUCAAAGUAGAUCUACUCGUAAGCAAUCCACUACCAUCCUCCUUCGUAGUUUCUAUGUUGGAUUUCUCCUUGGAAUAGGUAUAUCCUUGAUACAAUUGUAGGCAGGAACUUUUUGGGGAGCCAUACUGUUGACUCCUAUAGAGCUAUCAUGAAUUUGGUAGGCUCACCCCCGCUCAUGGUUAAUGGAACUAUCUUGACCUUGGAACAAGUGAUGCAAAGGCUUGACGCUAUUGAAAACAAAAUUGCCACAGUUGAAAUUAUUGAGGGUUUGGAUAGAAAGAUCCACAAUCAAAUUACUUAGUACGGAUCCAAAGUGGGAAACUUUUUGAAAAAUUUAAGGGAGAAGGAACUUAUAGUUAAUGAUUCUUCUAGAAUUGGCAAAUUAGAAGAUGUCAUAACCAACUUGGGUUCCGCUUUUGCCGCUGUGCAAAAUACUCCAAAUCUCACUCUCAAAAAGACCAUCAAGCCUGUUUUUGUUCCUAAAGCUAGUGGUGAGUCAUCCAAUAAAGAUGAAGAUCUUAAGAUGAUAAAUGACCACACUACUUAUGGUUUGAGCACCAAAGAUGACUCUACGUGAUUCCAUCACCUUUCGCCUAGCUAAGGGCGUUAAACAAAAGCGCUUGUUGGGAGGCAACCCAACGAAUCUAUCAUUUUUCUUUCUGUUUUGUGUUUUCCGCACUUUCAUAAUUCUGUUAUGAUUGUGUUUUUGUGUUUCUUUUUGCGUUUGUGCCAAGCAAAACUGUUAUGAUUAGUCUUGGGGAUGAUCGUUUGGUCAUGCUGGAAAAGACAGAAACUUUCUGCUCACGAAAAGAAUUGUCAUUUUGUUUCUGUAAGAGAUUUUGAGUUGAUUAUUUUUUCUGCUGAUUGCUACGCAAAUUCUUUAGACUCUAGUAAUGUUUCAGAAUAUUUGAAGUACGAGAGGUAUACGAAAUAUACAGAUUCCUACAGACUGGUCUGCUGUUAACAUAUUCUGUUUUUGUUGUGUUGGUUGCUUAUUUUGAUGAAACUAUGGAUAGUAUCGGGGGGUAUUAGCCAUGGAAGAUUGAAAAUACAGUAACCCAACAUCAGCACAAGUAGAAUUUAAGUUUUCUACAGUACCUAAGGAAGUGAUGGUUUGUUUUCUCAUACUAAUGUUAUCACGAGUUUCUGUUUAAGUUUCGUGUUGUGAAGUUUUCAAGUUUUAGGUGAAGUUCUUAUGGACAAAAAGAUAAAGAGUGGCAAGAUCUCAAGCUUGGGGAUGCCCAAGGCACCCCAAGAGACUCAAGGAUGCCGUAAAAGCCUAAGCUUGGGGAUGCCCCGGGAAGGCAUCCCCUCUUUCGUCUUCAAUCCAUCGGUAACGUUACUUGGGGCUAUAUUUUUAUUCACCACAUGUUAUGUGUUUUUGCUUGGAGCGUCUUGUAUCAUAGGAGUCUUUUAUUUUUGUUGUGUCACAAUCAUCCUUGCUGCACACCUAGAGAGAGAGAGACAUGCACUCACCGUGAUUUUGUCGAGCUUCACUUAUAUCUUUUGGUAGACAAUUCAGCUCACAUGUGCUUCACUUAUAUCUUUUGAGCUAGAUACUUAUGCUCUGUGUGCUUCACUUAUAUAUUUUAGAGCACAUCGAUGUGUGGCUUGGUAGUUUAUCUAUGCUUUGAAAGUAGUCUCAAAAGGGGUAGUUAUCCAAAGGGAUACGAAAACUUCCACCUUCAUGUGCAUUGAAUAGUUAGAGAAGUUUGAUUCAUCUCAAUUAGUUUUGAGUUGUGGUUAUGGUAAUAUUGUAGUCAUGCUAGUAAGGUGUUGUGGAUCUAGAAAUACUUGUGUUGAAGUUAGUGAUUCCCGUAGCAUGCACGUAUGGUGAACUGCUAUGUGAUGAAAUCUGGGCAUGAUUAGUAUAUUGAUUGUCAUCCUUUGCGUGGUGGUCGGGAUCGCGCGAUGGUUUAUACCUACCAACCCUUCCCCUAGGAGUAUGCGUUGAAUCCUUUGUUUCGAUUACUAAUAAAACUUUUGCAACAAGUAUAUGAGUUCUUCAUGACUAAUGUUGAGUCCAUGGUUUAGAUGCACUUUCACCUUCCACCAUCACUAUCUUCUUAGUGCCGUGUAACUUUCGCCGGUGCACAAAACCCACCAUUAGCCUCCCUCAAAACACAACCAUAUCUACCUACUAUGGCUUUUUCAAAGUCAUUCCGAGAUAUAUCACCAUGCAACUACCACCAUGACAUGUGCCACCACGUCUACAUUGCCAUUGCAUGAUCGUAAGAUAGCUAGCAUGAUGUUUCCAUUAAUGUCUAUGCCAUGCUAGAUCAUUGCCACGGUACACUACCGAAGGCAUUCCAUAUAGAGUCAUAGUUGCUCUAAGGUCUGAGUUGAAAGUGUGAUGAUCAUCAUUAAUGGAGCAUUGUCCCAUGUGAGGAAAUAAAAGAGGCCAAAGAAGCCCACCAAAAAAAAAGAGGCCAAAGAGCCCACCAAAAAAAUAAAAAAAUGAGAGAAAAAGAGAUAAGGGACAAUGCUACCACUUUUUCCACACUUGUGCAUAUUAAACACCAUGAUCUUCAUGAUUGAGAGUCUCUCAUUUUGUCACCACCAUAUAGCUAGUGGGAAAUUUUUAUUAUAUAACUUGGCUUGUAUAUUCCAAUGAUAGGCUUCCUCAAAAUUGCCGUAGGUCUUCGUGAGCAAGCAAGUUGGAUGCACACCACUAGUUUUCUUUAAGAUCUUUCACAUACUCUUAGCUCCAGUGCAUCAUUUGUAUGGUAAUCCCUACUCAUUCACAUUGAUAUCUAUUGAUGAGCAUCUCCACAUCUCAUUGAUAUGCCUAGUUAAUGUGACUAUCUUUUUUUUGCCUUGCAACCUCCACCACACUCCAUACCAUCUAUAGUGUUAUAACCAUGGCUCACGCUCAUGUAUUGCGUGAGAGUUGAAAAGGUUUGAAAAAGUAAAGGUGUGAAACAAUUACUUGGCCAAUACCGGGGUUGUGCAUGUUAUAAAUUUGUUGUGCAAUGAUGAUAGAGCAUAGCCAGACUAUAUGCUUUUGUAGGGAUAACUUUCUUUUGGCCUUGUUAUUUUGAAAGUUCAUGAUUACCUUGCUAGUUUGCUUGAAUUAUUAUUGUUUCCACGUCAAUAGCAAACUAUUGUUUUGAAUCUAAUGGAUCUGAACAUUCACGUCACAUAAGAGGAGUUACAAAGGACAUCUAUUCUAGGUAGCAUGAAAGCAUCAAAAAUUCAUUCUUUAUCACUUCCCUACUCGAGGACGAGCAGGAGUUAAGCUUGCAUGCCNNNNNNNNNNNNNNNNNNNNNNNNNNNNNNNNNNNNNNNNNNNNNNNNNNNNNNNNNNNNNNNNNNNNNNNNNNNNNNNNNNNNNNNNNNNNNNNNNNNNGGCAUGCAAGCUUAACUCCUGCUCGUCCUCGAGUAGGGAAGUGAUAAAGAAUGAAUUUUUGAUGCUUUCAUGCUACCUAGAAUAGAUGUCCUUUGUAACUCCUCUUAUGUGACGUGAAUGUUCAGAUCCAUUAGAUUCAAAACAAUAGUUUGCUAUUGACGUGGAAACAAUAAUAAUUCAAGCAAACUAGCAAGGUAAUCAUGAACUUUCAAAAUAACAAGGCCAAAAGAAAGUUAUCCCUACAAAAGCAUAUAGUCUGGCUAUGCUCUAUCAUCAUUGCACAACAAAUUUAUAACAUGCACAACCCCGGUAUUGGCCAAGUAAUUGUUUCACACCUUUACUUUUUCAAACCUUUUCAACUCUCACGCAAUACAUGAGCGUGAGCCAUGGUUAUAACACUAUAGAUGGUAUGGAGUGUGGUGGAGGUUGCAAGGCAAAAAAAAGAUAGUCACAUUAACUAGGCAUAUCAAUGAGAUGUGGAGAUGCUCAUCAAUAGAUAUCAAUGUGAAUGAGUAGGGAUUACCAUACAAAUGAUGCACUGGAGCUAAGAGUAUGUGAAAGAUCUUAAAGAAAACUAGUGGUGUGCAUCCAACUUGCUUGCUCACGAAGACCUACGGCAAUUUUGAGGAAGCCUAUCAUUGGAAUAUACAAGCCAAGUUAUAUAAUAAAAAUUUCCCACUAGCUAUAUGGUGGUGACAAAAUGAGAGACUCUCAAUCAUGAAGAUCAUGGUGUUUAAUAUGCACAAGUGUGGAAAAAGUGGUAGCAUUGUCCCUUAUCUCUUUUUCUCUCAGGGGGGUUUUUUUAUUUUUUUGGUGGGCUCUUUGGCCUCUUUUUUUUUGGUGGGCUUCUUUGGCCUCUUUUAUUUCCUCACAUGGGACAAUGCUCCAUUAAUGAUGAUCAUCACACUUUCAACUCAGACCUUAGAGCAACUAUGACUCUAUAUGGAAUGCCUUCGGUAGUGUACCGUGGCAAUGAUCUAGCAUGGCAUAGACAUUAAUGGAAACAUCAUGCUAGCUAUCUUACGAUCAUGCAAUGGCAAUGUAGACGUGGUGGCACAUGUCAUGGUGGUAGUUGCAUGGUGAUAUAUCUCGGAAUGACUUUGAAAAAGCCAUAGUAGGUAGAUAUGGUUGUGUUUUGAGGGAGGCUAAUGGUGGGUUUUGUGCACCGGCGAAAGUUACACGGCACUAAGAAGAUAGUGAUGGUGGAAGGUGAAAGUGCAUCUAAACCAUGGACUCAACAUUAGUCAUGAAGAACUCAUAUACUUGUUGCAAAAGUUUUAUUAGUAAUCGAAACAAAGGAUUCAACGCAUACUCCUAGGGGAAGGGUUGGUAGGUAUAAACCAUCGCGCGAUCCCGACCACCACGCAAAGGAUGACAAUCAAUAUACUAAUCAUGCCCAGAUUUCAUCACAUAGCAGUUCACCAUACGUGCAUGCUACGGGAAUCACUAACUUCAACACAAGUAUUUCUAGAUCCACAACACCUUACUAGCAUGACUACAAUAUUACCAUAACCACAACUCAAAACUAAUUGAGAUGAAUCAAACUUCUCUAACUAUUCAAUGCACAUGAAGGUGGAAGUUUUCGUAUCCCUUUGGAUAACUACCCCUUUUGAGACUACUUUCAAAGCAUAGAUAAACUACCAAGCCACACAUCGAUGUGCUCUAAAAUAUAUAAGUGAAGCACACAGAGCAUAAGUAUCUAGCUCAAAAGAUAUAAGUGAAGCACAUGUGAGCUGAAUUGUCUACCAAAAGAUAUAAGUGAAGCUCGACAAAAUCACGGUGAGUGCAUGUCUCUCUCUCUCUAGGUGUGCAGCAAGGAUGAUUGUGACACAACAAAAAUAAAAGACUCCUAUGAUACAAGACGCUCCAAGCAAAAACACAUAACAUGUGGUGAAUAAAAAUAUAGCCCCAAGUAACGUUACCGAUGGAUUGAAGACGAAAGAGGGGAUGCCUUCCCGGGGCAUCCCCAAGCUUAGGCUUUUACGGCAUCCUUGAGUCUCUUGGGGUGCCUUGGGCAUCCCCAAGCUUGAGAUCUUGCCACUCUUUAUCUUUUUGUCCAUAAGAACUUCACCUAAAACUUGAAAACUUCACAACACGAAACUUAAACAGAAACUCGUGAUAACAUUAGUAUGAGAAAACAAACCAUCACUUCCUUAGGUACUGUAGAAAACUUAAAUUCUACUUGUGCUGAUGUUGGGUUACUGUAUUUUCAAUCUUCCAUGGCUAAUACCCCCCGAUACUAUCCAUAGUUUCAUCAAAAUAAGCAACCAACACAACAAAAACAGAAUAUGUUAACAGCAGACCAGUCUGUAGGAAUCUGUAUAUUUCGUAUACCUCUCGUACUUCAAAUAUUCUGAAACAUUACUAGAGUCUAAAGAAUUUGCGUAGCAAUCAGCAGAAAAAAUAAUCAACUCAAAAUCUCUUACAGAAACAAAAUGACAAUUCUUUUCGUGAGCAGAAAGUUUCUGUCUUUUCCAGCAUGACCAAACGAUCAUCCCCAAGACUAAUCAUAACAGUUUUGCUUGGCACAAACGCAAAAAGAAACACAAAAACACAAUCAUAACAGAAUUAUGAAAGUGCGGAAAACACAAAACAGAAAGAAAAAUGAUAGAUUCGUUGGGUUGCCUCCCAACAAGCGCUUUUGUUUAACGCCCUUAGCUAGGCGAAAGGUGAUGGAAUCACGUAGAGUCAUCUUUGGUGCUCAAACCAUAAGUAGUGUGGUCAUUUAUCAUCUUAAGAUCUUCAUCUUUAUUGGAUGACUCACCACUAGCUUUAGGAACAAAAACAGGCUUGAUGGUCUUUUUGAGAGUGAGAUUUGGAGUAUUUUGCACAGCGGCAAAAGCGGAACCCAAGUUGGUUAUGACAUCUUCUAAUUUGCCAAUUCUAGAAGAAUCAUUAACUAUAAGUUCCUUCUCCCUUAAAUUUUUCAAAAAGUUUCCCACUUUGGAUCCGUACUAAGUAAUUUGAUUGUGGAUCUUUCUAUCCAAACCCUCAAUAAUUUCAACUGUGGCAAUUUUGUUUUCAAUAGCGUCAAGCCUUUGCAUCACUUGUUCCAAGGUCAAGAUAGUUCCAUUAACCAUGAGCGGGGGUGAGCCUACCAAAUUCAUGAUAGCUCUAUAGGAGUCAACAGUAUGGCUCCCCAAAAAGUUCCUGCCUACAAUUGUAUCAAGGAUAUACCUAUUCCAAGGAGAAAUCCAACAUAGAAACUACGAAGGAGGAUGGUAGUGGAUUGCUUACGAGUAGAUCUACUUUGAGCAUUGCAAAUCCUGUACCAAGCAUCCUUCAAAUUUUCUUCCUCAUUUUGCCUGAAAUUGAGAACUCCAUUUUCAGGGGUGUCAUUUGGAGUGGUGGGUCUAGCCAUUGAUGGACUAUCUCACACACAAACGAGCUGGAAGAGAGAGUGAAACGGGCAAAAGAAAACGACAAAAGAGAAAGGCAAAGGAGAAAGGCAAAUGUGAAGUGGGGGAGAGGAAAACGAGAGGCAACUGGCAACAAAAGUAAAUGCAAGAGAUGAGUUUGUGAGACCUACUUGGAUAGAUCUUCAUCUCUCCUCCCCGGCAACAUCGCCAUAAAUACUUCUGAUGUCAGUUGUGCUUCCUUGACUACGGCGCCAAGAAUAGUCGUGUCGACGGCACCAGGAAUCCUUCUGCCGCGGCUACGCCUUAAGGGACUUCCUAGGAAAGUAUGCAAAGGAUUUCCCCCGUGGCCUUGGAGCCUUGCGUUGGUGUUCCCUCGAAGCGGAAAGGGUGAUGUAGCACAGCGAUGGUAAGUAUUUCCCUCAGUUUGAGAACCAAGGUAUCAAUCCAGUGGAGGAGUAUCACAAGAUCCUGUACAAACACAAAAACUUGCUCCCAACGCUAUGAAGGGGUUGUCAAUCCCUUAUAGAUUGUUUGCCAAGUGAGAACUGAAAGCAACAAAGUAACAAAGCAAAGUAAAAGCGGAGGUGUAAACGAUGGAUGUGAAUAGACCCGGGGGCCGUAGUGUUUACUAGUGGCUUCUCUCAUGAAAGCAAGUAGACGGUGGGUGAACAAAUUACUGUCGAGCAAUUGAUAUAACCCCGCAAAGUCGUGACGAUAUCUAUGGCAAUGAUUAUAUCUAUAGGCAUCAUGUCCAAAACAAGUAGACUGAUACUUUCUGCAUCUACUACUAUUACUCCACACGUCGACCGCUAUCCAGCAUGCAUCUAGUGUAUUAAGUCCAAAAGAACAGAGUAACGCCUUAAGCAAGAUGACAUGAUGUAGAUGGACAAUCUCAUAUCAACGACAGAGCCCAUCUUGUUACCCUUGAUGGCAACUACUUAAUGUGUGCCUUGCUGCCCCUACUGUCACUGGGAAAGGUCACCACAUGGUAGAACCCAAAACCAAGCACUUCUCCCAUUGCAAGAAUCAUAGAUCUAGUUGGCCAAACAAAACCCAAGACUCGGAGAGACUUACAAGGAUAUCAAAUCAUGCAUAUAAGAAAUCAGCAAAGACUCAAAUAUAUAUCAUAGAUAAUCUGAUCACAAAUCCACAAUUCAUCGGAUCUCGACAAACACACCGCCAAAGAAGAUUGCAUCGGAUAGAUCUCCAUGAAGAUCAUGUAGAACUUUGAAUUGAAGAUCCAAGAGAGAGAAGAAGCCAUCUAGCUACUAACUACGGACCCGUAGGUCUGAAGUGAACUACUCACGAGUCAUUGGAGGGGCAAUGAUGAUGAUGAAGAAGCCCUCCAACUCCAAAGUCCCCUCCGGUAGGGUGCCGGGAAAUGGAAGCUUGCGGCGGCGAAAAGUAUUUUCGAGGCUCCCUUGAUAUUUUGCUGUAUUUUAGAGAAUAUAUAGGGUAAGGAUCUAGGUGAGGGGGCGGCGAGGGAGGCCACAAGCCCUGCCACCGCCGCCUCCCCCCUGGUGGCGGAGUGGGGGCUUGUGGGCUCCCAGGAGCCCUCCUGGCUUGGCCCACUGGCCCCCUGAUCUUCUUCCGUUCAGGAAAAAAUCAUUUCGGGGAUUUUAUUCCGUUUGGACUCCGUUCCAAAAUCAGAUCUGAAAAGAGCCAAAAACACAGAAAAAACAGGAACUGGCACAUGGCACUGAAUUAAUAAGUUAGUCCCAAAAAAGAUAUAAAAGGUAAAUAAAACAUCCAAAGAUGACAAGAUAACAGCGUGAAACCAUCAAAAAUUAUAGAUACGUUUGAGACGUAUCACCCAUGUAUACACAUUUAUAGUAUUGUGAGGUGUGCAAAGCACAUCACUCCCCCACAAUGGGAUAAUCCAUUAAUCUCUCACAAGAGCCAACAAAGAUACAAACAAGAUGCAAAAAGGCUCAAUACAAGACUCACAUGUACAUGAUGUGCAAACCAACAUACACAUACUAGAUUACUUAAGAUAAGAAAGUUGGAAGCACAACAUAUACAAACAUAUGCAAGGUACAAAACCACAACAUGCAAAGGGCAAGUAACUAACAAUGUAAAUAGUUUAAGUAUAAGUUACCGUAAGGAGGAACAUUGGAUAUAAGAUAGAAAAUCGAUAAUCCAAAUGACUUGGCUUGAGAUAAUAUGAAUGAUGAAGACCCCUUAAUUCUUCAUUAUGUAUCCAAGUCUCCAAUGUCCUCCACAAUAACCUAUUGAUCAAGUUUGAGCUUGUUGGUCCCCAACCACGUUGGGUCCUAAGAGGUUAGUCACAAUAGGCUUGGCAACCCAAAUGGUACUUUUCUUGACACCACUUUGAGUACCAACAAACUUGGCAAACACAUUGCCAACCUUAUCCUUCCCAACAGAAUAGAUAUCAUCAAUAAUGAUUGGGUUGGAUAAGUUACCUCUCGUGCAAGAAGAAGCGAAGUGACCCUUCUCACGACAUAAGUAGCAAAAUCUACCCUUUAAUUUCUUCCCUAUUGAUUUCUCAACAUGAGGAGCGUUUGCUUGGGUCUUCUUGGGAAGAGGCCUUUCUUCAACUUCUAUUUGAGUAUGUGAUUGAACUUGUGGUCGCUUCCCUUGUUGCUUGUGACUUUGGGACUUCUUCUUUAGUGGGCAAGAUCUAACAUGGUGCCCUUCAAUUUUGCACUUGAAGCAAAUAAUCUUGGCCGAAUUCUUGAAUUGUUCUUGGCCCUUCUUCUUGAAGAUUUUGGACUUAUUCUUCUGGUUGGAGUUGAAUCUAAGUCCAUCUUUGUAAUUCGGGGAUUUUUGCCCACACAAGACAUUGUUGAGUGUGGACAUCCCUUCAUGACUCUUUUCCAAGUCUUUCUUCAAAGAAGUGACUUGGGCCUUGAGCUCUUCGAUUUCCUCUACAUGGUUAGUAUCAACACAAGCACUAGAGGAAGUAUAAGUUCAUUGUUAGAGCAACAAGGCAAGGAAAGUAAUUCAUCACAAGAGGUAGCAACAUUAUGAGUAGAAGAAUUACGAGGACUAGCACAUGGCAAUAUAGCAUUUUGACUAGAAGUAGUGCCAUUGUCCACAUGAAGCUCACUUGAUGUUACCUUGGUAAUAAUAGCCUCACGAGCUAAUUUUAGCGCAUUAUGGGAUGCUAGAAGAUCAUCAUGAGAGCUUGUGAGCAUUACAUGAAUUUCUUCCAAUUUCCCAUAAUUGCUAGAUAGCAACUCAAGUUGAGCCCUUAGCUCAACAUUCUCCUUUGAAAUGGAUGAUUCACAAGAAGUAGAGUUAGUAGCACAAGCAUCAUCAUUAGCAAUAAGAGGACAUGGCAACUUGGCAAGCUCUUUAGCAUAUGAAGCUUCAAGCUGAGCAUGGGACUCGGUGAGUUCGAUGAGCGAACUCUUAAUAGCCCUUGAGCCAUUAUCAAGGUGCUCAUAGUCCUCAAGGAGUUUAGGAUGUGCAACUUCUAGCUUAUCAUUUUUAGUUCUAAAAUCGUUAGCCACCUCGAGAGCUCUAUCAUGGGAUUCCUUUAAUCUAGAUAAUUCUAGAGCAAAGGUUUCCUCAAGAGAUUCCUUGGUGGUUUGUUCAUUUUAAAGAGCUUGAGAUAGCUCCGCGAUCUCAUUAGCGUAAUCACGCUCAUGACCUUCCAUUGUAUCAAUGGUGGCCUCAUGCUCCUCAAGAUGAGCUUCCAACUCCUCAAUGUAUUUCUUGCCCUCAGUGGCAAUAGACAUUAUUUCCAAGAAGUUGUAACAAGCAAGUUUAUUCUUAUAAAGACAUUUAAAAAUCAUUUCCCUAUUAUUUUUUAAGGAUGCAAUAUUAUCACUCUCUUCAUCAUUAUCCUUAUGCCCAUUAUCAUCAAGCAACAUCAUCAUCAUGAGAUAUAUUGGGAUUCAAAGUAGGAGGUACCUUUGAAGCCUUAGCCAUAAGGCAAAAGUGAGUAACAAUAGAUGAUGAUGUAGGAUCCCUUGAAGCAUAAUUCAAGGCCACAUCUUGUUCCAUGGAGUGAUGAAUUUGCUCUACAUUGUUAGCACAACAACUCGAGGAAAUAUAUACAUUUUUAUCAUGGCAACAAGAUAUAGGAAGCAUAUCAUCAUGAUAUUUAGUCAAGCAGUUUUUACAUGAUAUGCAAGGACUAUCAACACAAGCAUGUAAAACAUUUAGAGUGCUUGAAGUGUUAAUGCCCAAAGAUGAAGCAUUGCAAUAAUAUAGUGAUGAAGGAUCAUCAACAAUAAACCCACUAUCAUCAUUGCAAUGAUCACCACUACUCACCAUAUCAUUACCUUGUGGCAAUUCGCAUGUAGGUGAAGUAGAUGAAGUUGAGAAGACCACACGACCGGAGGUGGAGGGAGAACAAUCAUUCCCACAAAUCUUCAACGUACCAUAUUUAUCUUGAAGCUUUGUCCACAACUCAUGAGCAUCCCGGAAUGGCAUGAGUUGCAAUAUAACUACAUUGCUCAAAGCAUAAAAAAGCACAUUAGAAGCUUGAGAAUCGAGAUAAGAGUUUUUAUCAUCCUCUAAAGAUAUAUUUUGAGAAUCCUUUGGAGGAGAAAAACCCAUAUAUACAAUUCGCUCUAAAUUUGGGUCCAAGACCCGAAAGUGAUUAAGCAUGCGAAUUACCCAAACAUCAAAAUUUGUGCCAUCAAAACUAAGAGUGUCAGUGAAUCCUAAACCCCUAGUCGACAUCCUUACUCUCUAGGUGGUUAAACCUAAUAAAGAGAGACCUAGCUCUGAUACUAAUUGAAAGGACGUGAUGUCGCCUAGAGGGGGAGGUGAAUAGGCGCUUUAAGAUAAUUAUGGUUUAGGCUUGAACAAAUGCGGAAUAAAACUAACGUUUAAUUUGUCAAGCACAAAACCUAAAACAACUAGGCUCAACUAUGUGCACCAAUAACUUAUGCUAAGCAAGAUAAACAACUAAGUGAUAGCAAGAUAUACGACAAGAAACAAUAUGGCUAUCACAAAUUAAAGUGCAUAAGUAAAGGGUUCGGGUAAGAGAUAACUGAGGCACGUGGAGACGAUGAUGUAUCUCGAAGUUGACACCCUUGCGGAUGCUAAUCUCUGUUGGAGCGGUGUGGAUGCACAAUGCUCCCUAAGAUGCCACUAAGGCCACCGUAAUAUCCUCACGCCCUCGCACAAUGCAAGAUGCCGUGAUUCCACUAAGGGACCCUUGAGGGAGGUCACCGAACCCGUACAAACAAGGUUGGGGCAACCUCGACAACUUAAUUGGAGGCUCCCAACAACACCACAAAGCUUCACCACAAUGGCAUAUGGCUUCGAGGUGACCACAAGUGCUCGGGGCAAUCUCCACAACUUAAUUGGAGACCCCGACGCUUGCCCGGAGCUUUACACCACAAUGAUUGAGCUCCGAGGCACCACCAAGCUUCUAGGGGUACCAAGUACCCAAAGGUAAUAAGCUUCUCAACUUCUCACUUCCACGUAUCACCGUGGAGAACUCAAACCGAUGUACCAAAUGCAAUGGCAAGGGCACACGGAGUGCCCAAAUCCUUCUCUCCCAAAUCCCACCAAAGCAACUAAUGCUAGGGAGGAAAAUGAGAGGAAGAAUGAAGAAGAACACGAAGAACACCAAGAUCUAGACCCAAUGGGUCCCCUCACUUAGAGGAGAAAGUGAUUGGUGGAAAUGUGGAUCUAGAUCUCCUCUCUCUUUUCCCUCAAGAACUAGCAAGAAUCAUUGGAGGGAUUGAGAGUUAGAAAGCUCGAAGAAGGUCAACAAUGGAGGAAGAACACGAGCUAAAGAGAUAAGGUUCAAUGGGGAAGAAUACACCCUUUUAUAGGUGGGAAAAAAUCCAACCGUUAUGCUUCACAGCCCGCACAGAGCGGUACUACCGCUCAUGGGAGCAGUACUACCGCUCGGUAGGUUCACCAACCAUGCUGAGGCCAAAAAGGACGCGAAAAGCAGUCCGGCGGAGCGGUACUACCACUAGGGAGCAGUAGUAAAAAAUUACUACCGCUCCGGGGGCGGUACUACCGCUCCCGGGGCGGUACUACCGCUACACGAGCGGUACUACCGAUGGAUACUGAAACUGCUCUAACUUUCGCAUACGGACUCCGAAUUCAACGAAACCAAGUUUGUUGGAAAAUUAACGACAUGGGCUAACACAAUCUUGAUACAAAUAUCAAUAAGAAUCUAGUGAGAAAAGUACCAUAAGAAAAUGGUGAGAACCCUUCUUCGAAUAAGACCGGUAAAACUCCCAGCAUCGAAAACAUCAUAGAAGGUGCAUAUGGACUCCGUUUUCGAUGAACUCGAGCUUGUCAUGAAGAUGACCAUAAGCUCUAAAACUCACAAAGAGAAACACCAAAAAAUAACCAAGAAGUAUUAUGCAAGGAUGCAAAUGGUUUGAGCUCUCAAUGAACGAUACGAUCAAGCUACUCACUUGAGAGCCCCCCUUGACAGUACAACAAUCUAUCCUAAAACAGAAAACCUAUCAAGGGCAAACCUAUACCUUGCACCUCGUCCUCUUGAUCUAGAUGACGAUGAUCUUGGCUUCCUCAAGAUGGACCACCUUUCUUGAUUGCGUUGGCUUGAUGAAGACUAGUUGAUUGCUCCCCCAUACACACUAUGGGUGAGCCGCUCUUCGACAUAUCUUCACAAGUCCAUUGCCACCAUCCUCCACCACUUGAUAUCAUCCUCCAUGGGUUGUAUGAGAUAUUUCUCUAGACGCAAGCCCAUGGAAACACACCUAACCCCACACAGAACUCUCACGAAGACCAUGGGUUAGUACACAAACACGUAAUGGACUAUGCUUACCAUACCAUGGGAUCACUUGAUCCCUCUCGGUACAUCUUGUACGCUUUGUGUGUUGAUCAUAUUGAUUUACUCUUUGUGUGAGAUCUUGAUCAACCUUGAGUCUCUAUGACCAUUCUUUGGAUAAUACCUUGAAUACCACCUUGGUCAUCAUAUAAACUCCUUGGACCCAACAGAUGGACUUCAAGAAGUGCCUACGGACAAAUCCUAUAAAUAUAACUUAAGGCAACCAUUAGUCCAUAGGAAUUGUCAUCAAUUACCAAAACCACAUAUGGAGAUAUAUGCUCUAACAAACGCAUCUGCAAAGACAAACGUUAGUUUGAAGACAACCCUAUGGCUCAUGCCGGUUGCCGUAGCAUCGACGUACAAGUCGAUAUUAACUAUUACAACAUGAUCAUCUCAUACAUCCAAUAUAUCACAUCAUGUGUUUGGUCAUAUCACAUCACAAGCAUACCCUGCAAAAACAAGUUAGACGUCCUCUAAUUUGUUGUUGCAUGCUUUACGUGGCUGCUAUGACUGCAUCUUACUUACGCAAAAACCACAACCGAGAUGUGCAAAUUGCGAUGUAACCUCUCUCCAAGGACCGCCUCGGUCAAAUCCAAUUCAACUAAAGUUGAAGAAACCGACACCCGCCAGUCAUCUUUAUGCAACAAGUUGCAUGUUGGUCGAUGAAACCAGUCUCUCCUAAGCGUACGAGUAAUGUCGGUCCGGGCCGCUUCAAUCCAACAAUACCGUCGAAUCGAGAAAAGACUAAGGAGGGUCGCAAAUCGAACAUCAACGCCCACAAAAACUUUUGCGUUCUACUCGAGAUUACAUCUAUGCAUGAACCUAGCUCAUGAUGCCACAGUUGGGGAAUGUUGCAUGGGAAUCAAAAAAAUUCCUACGCACACGAAGACCUAUCAUGGUGAUGUUCAUCUACGAGAGGGAGAUCAGAUCCACAUACCCUUGUAGAUCGCUAAGCGGGAAGCGUUAAGAAACGCGGUUGAUGUAGUGGUACAACUUCAUGAUCCAAAUCACCGUCAUCUCACGAUCCAUCCCGAUCUAGUACCGAACGGAUGGCACCUCCGCGUUCAGCACACGUAUAACUCGAUGACGAUCUCCGCCUUCUUGAUCCAGCAAGAGAGAAGGGGAAGUAGGAUAGUUCUCCGGCAGCGUGAUGGCGCGGCGGUGUUGGUGAUGAUCUAUUCCUACAGGGCUUCGCCCGAGCUCCGCAGAAAUCUAAUCUAGAGGAAGAACUAUGUGGUAUAGGUUUGAGUUGCACGUGGCAAAGUUGUGUCUCAAAAGCCCUAAAACCACCAAUAUAUAUAGGAGGAGGGGAGGGGCUAGCCUUGGGUAUCAAGGGAUCCCCAAGGGCGCCGGCCGAGAGGAGGAGGUGGACUCCCACCCCAAUUCGGUUUGGGGGAAGGAGUCCACUCCUUUCUUCCCACCUCCCUCUUUCCUUUUUUUCCUUUGGUUUUUUCUUCUUGUGGCGCCAUAGCCCACUUGGGGUGGCCUCACCAGCCCACUAAGGGCUGGUGCGCCACCCUAGUGCUAUUGGGCUCACUCCCGGGGUAGGUGGGCCCCUCUCGGUGAAUACCCGGAACCCAUUCGUCACUCCCCGUACACUCCCGGUAAUGCCCGAAAUCUUUCCGGUGACCAAAUUAAACCAUCGUGACGUCCGUGAUAUCAUCCGGGACUCCGAACAACCUUUGGUCACCAACACAUAUAACUCAACUAUACUAAAAUGUCACCGAACCUUAAGUAUGCAGAACCUGCGGGUUCGAGAACUAUGCAGACAUGACCCGAGACACUCCUCGGUCAAUAUCCAAUAGCGGGACCUGGAUGUCCAUAUUGGAUCCUACAUAUUCUACGAAGAUCUUAUCGGUUGAACCUCUGUGCCAAGGAUUCAUAUAAUAUCGUAUAACAUUCCCUUUGUCCUUCGGUAUGUAACUUGCGUGAGAUUUGAUCGUCGGUAUCUCUAUACCUAUUUCAAUCUCGUUACCGACAAGUCUCUUUACUCGUUCCGUAAUACAAGAUCUCGUGACUUACACUUGAGUCACAUUGGUUGCAAGGCUUGUAUGUGAUGUUGUAUUACCGAGUGGGCCCCGAGAUACCUCUCCGUCACACGAAGUGACAAAUUCCAGUCUUGAUCCAUGCUAACUCAACAGACAACUUCGGAGAUACCUGUAGAGCACCUUUAUAGUCACCCAGUAACGUUGUGACGUUUGAUACACACAAGGUAUUCCUCUGAUGUCAGUGAGUUACAUGAUCUCACGGUCAUAUGAAUGAAUACUGUACUUGACACGCAGAAAAUAAUAGCAAUAAAAUGACACGAUCACAUGCUACGUUUAUAAUUUGGGUCUUGUCCAUCACAUCAUUCUCCACUUAUCAAGUGACAACACUUGCAUAUGGUCAGAAAACCUUAACCAUCAUUGAUCAACUGGCUAGCCAACUAGAGGCUUACUAGAGACAUUGUUUUGUCUAUGUAUCCACACAUGUAUCAAUGCUUUCAUUCAAUACAAUUAUAGCAUGGAUAAUAAAUAGUUAUCUUAAAACAGGAAAUAUAAUAAUAACUAUUUUAUCAUUGCCUCUAGGACAUAUUUCCAACAAUGCAUGUAUGUGUUCAUAUGGAUGAAUGUAUGUGCAUUUAUGUGAGCAUAUAUGAUUAUACUAUGUUUAAAAAAAUGUGCAUGUAUUUUAAAAAUGUGAACUUUUGAUAAAUGCUAUACAAACAAUGUUCACAUUAUUUUAAAAAAGUUAUUCACGCCAUUCAAAAAAAUGUACGUGAGAUUUGAAAAACUGUUCACACAUUUAAAAAAAUGUUCAUGUCAUUUUAAAAUAAAGAAAAAUAAUAUGUCUGUGUAAUAUAAAUAUGUUUAAUUCCAUUCAAUAAAAAUAUUCACCCUGUAUUAUAUUCUUUUAACAUUUAUUCAAAAAGAUGUUCAACAUGAAUUUGAAAAUGUUCAUCAUGUAUUUAAAAAAUGUUUAACAUGUAAUAUUAUUUUUUGCGUGUAUGCAAAAAAAUGAACGUGUAAUGAAAAAGUAAGCAUAUAUUUAUACAAAAGGGGGGGGGGGGGAAGAAUAAGAAAAUGAAAACUAAAAACCCGAUAAGAGAACACAUGUUCAAUCUUAAAAUGUUGUGUCGAUCCGGUAUCUCAGAGGUGCUCGCACGGGUAAUGUAUGCAUAUAUAUAUUCAUAACGAUGAGUGUAUGUGCGUGUAUGUAAGCAUCUAUGGUUGCACCGUGUUUAAAGAAUGUGCACGUGUUUCAAACAAAUUAUGAUAUUUGAAAAAAUAGUUAUACAAACAAUGUUAGCAUAAGUUUAAAUAUGUCUACUAGCACUCAAUAAAAUGUACGUGAUACUGAAAAAUGGUCACACGUUUCAAAUAUAUGUUUGUAUCAUUUAAAAAUAAUAGAUAAAUAUUUUUGCAUAAUAUAAAACAUGUUUCGUACCAUUCAAUAAACUAUUCAACGUGUAUUUGAAAAUGUUUAAAAUUUAUUAGAAAAAGUUCAAAGAAGAAUUCAAAAAAUAUACAUCAUGUAUUUGCAAAAUGUUCAACGUGUAUUAAGAAUAUACUAAGAGUGCACUAAAAAAAGUACAAUAUAUAUUAAAAAAUAGACAUGUAUUUACAAAUAAAUAAAGGAAAAAACCAAAAACUAGCAAACCGAGUAAGAUAACACAUAGAAAUAGAAGAAGAAGAACAAAUGAAAGGUUCUACAACCGAUCGAAAGGACCUUUGAUGGGCUAGCUUACUAUGUCGAGGGCGCACCGAUCAGAUGCUCCUCUCGUCGCGGACGAGAUAUAGCAAAAUCACUAGUUAAAGGUUACCUUUUACAACGUUCAUGUCCGACCUUUUCAAAGGCUGUCAAGUGACACACUACAGAUCCACCACUUGUCGUAAUCUGAAAGUUUUUUUUCAUAGAUUCGUGUAUUCAAAAUAUUUUAUUUUUGUUUAAAUCAUGCAUCCAAAUAUGAAACUUUUCUUAUUGUUGGAUUUCUUGUGCCGGGAUCUUUGAAAAUAUAUCUCAUGUUAAUAGAUUUGAGUUGUCUUUUUUAUUCACCAAAAAGCUAAAAACUAGAAAAUACAGAAACAAAAGAAACAAAUACCAAAAGACCAAAAAAGACAAGCGAACACCGGAAAGGCGAAGAAAGAAAAGAACCUGAAAGCACGGUUGCGGUUUUCACUUUCUCUGAAAGCACAUAAUGUACUUUUCUCUUUUCUUUAAGGAAGCAUAGGUUAUGCUUACAAUGUUGUGCUUUUUGCGGCUCAUAGAAGCUGUGUUGGAUGUUCUCUUUUUGAGACGUAGUGCUUCUCGUGUUGAAGCACAUAUUUGUUUUCUUAGAAGUACGAUUGUGCUUAGAAAGAAUAUGUUUUUCUCCAGUGUAAGGAAAGCUGGACAAAGAUUGAAAACCCGGAAAAAACAUCUAAAAACCAAACGAAUGCAGAAAUAUCUAUACCACUACAUAGUGUACGAGUUUUGAAUUGUAACUAAAGCAUCAAUCCUAGCCAUUGGUCUCCAUUAUCUAAUGGUUGAGGGUUGAAGGAUUCACGGUGAACAGUAGCACACAGCUACUUCUGCUGGGUUCUGAAACCAUCGCUUCACAACUCCUGCCUGCUCUGUCAUUUUGCAUUGUCAGGCUGAGACCUAAAUACCAGAGUCCACAGAUGCAUGGUCUGGUCUAGGAGGAGGAAGGAAAAAACAUAAGUAAACAAUUUAUGGGGUCCAUCACAUACAUCUGCCUUUGUUUUCCGGAAAAUUCUGGGUGUCACCAGGCUAGGGGAGUUGCAUCAUAUACCAAGUUUCUACUACAUAAUUUAUGCAUGCAUACAUUUCAUCAUAAAGUGUUGUAUACCCAUUUUUUUAUUUUACAAAAAUCAUGAAUAUAAUAUUGUUAAGACGUGCAUUGCACGUGCAUACAUACUAGUAAAAGUAAAAUCCUGAAAAAGGGAGCACUACACAAGGUAGUGGCUGAUGGACGCAUCAUUUGACACGCUUCCAAAACACAAAAAUAACCCUUGUGGAAGCCCUCUCAAGAUCUAAAUGUGACGCUCUUUGCGGCUCGCCUGGACCGGCCCAAUUCAUGAUCGCGAGGUCAAAAAACAGUAUAACACGCAAGAACCAACACCUUUCCUAGGAUUCGAACCCAGAGAUCAAAGUCAUGCACGUGAUGGGCUAGCCACUGCGACAACCAAGCUCUUGUGCUCUAUUUGCCGUGCAAUAUUAGAAGAAACGGAAGACAACGGCGGAACAAUUGAACAAAUUGUAAAACUGAUUACAUUUUUCAAAUACAAACAGUUUUCCAAAUGUCCCAAACAUUGUCUGAAAAACAGGAACAUUUUUUGAGAUGAAUAUUUUCUUUUCCAAAACACAAGUUUUGAAUUUGCGUUUUUUUGAAAGUGGAAACAUUGGAAGCAAAUUCCGGAACAUUUCUUUGUGCAAAAAAAUUGAAAGUGGAAACAUUUUUUGAAAUUCUGAACAUUUUUCAAAUUCUGAAACAUUUUUUCAAAUUUUGGAACUUUGUCAAAUUCCNUCCGGAACUUUGUCAAAUUCCAGCACAUUUUUUGAAAUUCCGGAACAUUUUUACAAAUUCUGAAACAUUUUUCCAAAUGACGAUUUUUUUCGAAAAUCAAGAACAUUUUUAAAACAGAAACAAAAAAGAUAAACAAAAAAGAAUAAAGAAAACGAAAAAAAACCGGUUCAGAGAAUCCGCUAAAAAAUCCCAAAAUCGAAGAAAACGGACUGAAAACCUGUCCCAAAACCUAGAUCGAUGAAAGUGUUAACCGACCGGUCCAAACCUCGUCACUCGCUCGCACCUCCUUCGCGAAGCUGCGACUACUUACCGCAGUGAGCGGCAUAUAGGGAAUUCCGUGAAAAACCAAACAAAGAGAAAGAUCGCGUGUAUUACGGGCCCUAGAUCGCGCACAGUACAUCAUCUAUCCUCAGGCCCAGAGUUGUAGAAGGGCUCAAAGCCCCACAAAUAAGCUAUCAGCCCAACAACAGUACCAACAAACAACGCACUCUCGUCUUCUCCGUCGCCGGGGCAACACGCCGCCGUGCCGCCCCCUCUCGGCCCGUCCGCGCUCGUCACCACGCUUUCCUACCUCCCACCCGCAGGCUUGCGACUUCGUUGUUUGGCGGCUAUCUCCGCUCCAAUCUGAGUAAGCCUCACCUUCCCAGCUGUUUUUCUUCUUCUUCCUCUUUUAGCGAGGGUUUGGUGCGGUGCCCCCUACGCAUUGCUUCGCAACUGGGCGUAAAGUAGCUAUGCAUCCUCUGCAGCUACUAGAUUUUCCAGGUCCUGAUUUCAGCGGUCACAAAAUGUUCCUGCCCUUCUAUGUUGCUUUGCCCCCAAAAUUAACUGGUCACGCAGAUGCUCCAUAUAGGUUUAUCUAUGUGGAUGUUUUGGUGUAGUUUCUAAGAAGAACCAGAGCCAAAGAGCAUACAAGAUUGUAUCAUAAAUGGCCGAGCUGAUAGAUCAUGUUGCGGGCUUGCGGCGAAAGCUUAAUUCAGUUCUUCUGAGCAUUGCAUAAUCUAGUCUAAUUCGUGUUUUCCUUUUUGUGCGAAACCGAACCUUGCAACAGGAGGACAGGAGUAGGGCCCAUGGCGAUGGAGAUGAGGGCCCGGGAAUCUGUAGGCAUGUCGGAGGACCUAACACGGGCGAUCGCACCUUACGCCACCGCCCUGCACGACGCCUUCCUCCACUCCCAUUGCUCCUCGUGUUUCAGGAAGUUGCCAUCGCAACCUCCAUGUGCCAUGUCUUGUAUGCCCUGCUGCUCUGUUCAGUACUGCUGCUCAGACUGCUUACGCUCGGAUCGUGAAGUGCAUUCGUCUUCCGGUGAAUGUUACUUCUUCGCCGACCACCUCAAGAAAGCAUCUCCAUCCUAUGUCACUGAAGGCACAAGCGAUGUCCGUGCUUCUCUUCGGCUUCUUUAUUUUCUCGAGAUGCAUGCUCUUGUUUCGUCCGAUUCAAUCAACCGCUCCAGCAGAAUUGGUGGGCUUUCAACAAUUGGUAUUCUGGAAGUUCUGAAGGAAGGUGGGGAGGUUGCCGAGACGAUACGGAAGGGAAGCAUGCUGAUGUCGUCUGCCAGAAAAAUGAGGACACAAACUUCUGUUGUUUUCUCCAAUGGCUUGACAGUAGAGAUAGUGGCAUUAUGGGCAGUGAUGAUCAACAGCGUUGAGGUGCAGAUUAGUGACGGGUGGGAUCUGGGGAUUGCAGUUUAUGGGCCUAGUUUCUCAUGGUUCAAUCAUAGUUGCUUUCCAAACGCUUCUUAUCGUUUUGCUUUGGCUCCACCCAAUGAAGAUUCUGUUUCAGAAAAACCAGAAUACCGUGCAGUCCCUGCUAGCAAAGGGGUUGCUGCAGAUGCGGUAAAGGAAAUCAAACUACUGCUUUAUUUGGUGUAUUCUGUACUUGUGCAUCCACUAUUCUUACAGUCAAUCAACUACUUUGAAUAUCAAAUAUUUCUGAAUUUGGAGUAAGUUAUUUGUCUUUUUGUUGGUUGCAGUGGCAUGCUUGGCAAUUUGAAGAAGAUUCUACUCAUGGUAUUUCUUUCAUGUUCAUUUAUUCUGCAACGUGAGGCAACAUUCUGAACCUUUACCCUGACUCUCUUUAGCACUUGGCAAAUGUGGUCCAAGAGUUGUUGUCCGUUGUAUAAAGCCAAUCAACAAGGCGGAUGAAGUUUGCAUAACAUACAUUGAUCUUCUCCAGACCAGGGUACUGUUUUCUUGCUAAAUCCUAGUUUGCACGAGUUUCCAAAUACAAGGAGGUCAGUUAUCUUAAUGUAUUAUUAGUUGUACAGAAUCAAACGAAGGCUCAAUUGUUGCCUGAACUGUAAUAAUGGGCUAUAGUGGUCCCCUUGGUAUUAGUGUUUACAUCAAAAUCUCCCUUAAUUUUAGAUAACCAUGCUUAAUAUAACUCUUUAUGCACUUGGGGAAACACUGUUUCUUGUAGAAAAACAGGGCCGCCCUUUGUCCAUGUUCAUCCAAAACAGAAGUACUUAGAUAUUGUAAUGCAGUUUUUAUAGUUUCUAACUUUCUGUUGAGCUGCUGCUGUCGGCAGAUGUUCUGAUUACUAUUUAGUCUUACCAUCUGCAAAAGCUAUAUCUGAAUGAAGAACAUAUCCAGUGCUCCCAAGCCACAGGAGCACAACCAAAAAGCUCACAAAACUCUAAAACUAAUCAAGUGGAUUAACACAAUAUAAACUUGUCAUGCCACACAAUUUCAUGUUAAAAUCCAAUCUGCACAUCAGGAAAGAAGAAAAACAGGCAAAUUCUGCCAUGAAUAGCAUUUCUCUUCUUCUUUUCUUAGUGACGGUGUGGAAUUCAUAUAUUGAAAUUUCAUGACAUACUAAAUACACAUUGUGUCAAUGCACCCAAAUUUUCAGAAGUUUUUAAGACAGUUCGGUUGUGCUCCCAUGGCUUUGGAUCAUGCUAGCCAGUAGCCCCACAAGCCUUGGGAGCACCAGAUAUGUCUUUCAUAUGAAUGCGCACCUUUUUCAGGAUGGAUUUGCAUAUUAUAAGUAAAUUUAUGUAUGUUAUAUGUUUCCAUUUAGAUGUAUUGGUGUAGCUAUGUUAUCUUGGAUCUUUUUUUCUGCACACUGUUUGCCUUGGUGAAGUUGUUGUGGUAGACAAUGUUUUCCGUGCCUUCCAUAUAAGUAGGUCAAUAUGCUUUAGGAUAUCACAAUCCCUCCAUUCUUGAAUACAUGACGACCUAGGAGUUCACACUUAAAGCAAGAUGCAUGUGGAAAAGAGUCAAAAGACUGAAACAUGACCCCUCUUUUAUUAGGCCAGUUAUUACCUUUCGAAGUUGUCUGUUACUCAUAAAUGUAUUCGAAAUAGCCAAAGGGAAGGGUAUGAAAGGGAAAAUCUGGUGUAAAGUUAUCAUGAAAUGGUAAAAUGACAUCUAUUUAGGAACAAAUUUUCGAACUAGAAUAACAGGUGUUCAAGAACUGGGGGAGUUCAAGUGUGUUGUUUCUUUUUUGGUUUUCUAACUGUUUGCACAUCAAAUAAAUUAUGAGUUACUUCUAUUUCCCUACUUUGUCACACUCAUAAGUCGGAACUUUUUCUCUUUACAGGAAGCAAGGCAUUCAGAUCUUUGGUCAAAGUAUAAGUUUAUUUGUUCUUGUGAGCGCUGUACUGCAUCACCAGAAUCAUAUGUGGAUUUUAUUCUAAAUGUAAGAGCCAAAUCCCGGAGAAAAUAUUGUCAGGGGGGGGGGGGGGUUGUUUAAAUUUACCAUGUACUAUCUUGAUGCACUUAUUAUAGUAUUGUGCCAUAUUCCUUUUAGUCAAAUAAAUUUGAUUUUUUACUCUGCUAUAAGUUCUUUCUAGCCACUCAUAUUUUGAGACACUUUUAAAUUCCAGUGGCUUGUAUGUUUGUAAACUUUGGUGUGUUCUCUCUAUCAGUGUGGCUCAACUUACAUCUUUGAACUUCUAUCAGAUAUCUCUCAUCCCAGCACAGCUUACAAAAAACUAUAUAUUAACCAGUAACUAGUAUCAGCGGCAUAUACAUUAACUAGCAACCCUUUUUAGGUAGUUGUGUAUGUUGCAGGUUCCUGAAAGUUUACGCUUAAAUUUGUAUCUUCUGCGAGCUGACAUGGUACCCUUCUCAGUGUGACUUCAGGAACUUGAAUUCACCAGAGAAUGCUGUUAUAUCUCGAGCAAGCGAGGAUUUUGAUGAUAUCUUACAACAGGCAAUCUCUGAAUAUUCAUUGGGUGAUGACCCCAAAGCCUGCUGUGUUAUGAUUGAAAGUUUGCUUUCCGAAAACUUGAUGGGUGAUUUGCAGCAAGUGGAACUUUCACGGAGCAGACAUAUACUACAUCCUCUUCAUCAUAUAUGUCUUAGAGCUUAUAUGACACUUUCGUCUGCUUACCGCUUUCGUGCCCUAGAAUCCAAUACUGAUGGCUUUAAGGGAGAAAACGGUGCUGUUUCUUUCAAAAUGGCAAAAGCUGCAGUAGCUUAUUCAUUUCUUCUUGCAGGAGCUACGCACCACUUGUUCUUAUCUGAACGUUCCUUUAUGACCCCACUGGCACAUUUUUUGUUAAGCACUGGACGGUCCAUUUUAGAUUUUGUUGAAUGUGUAAAGGGAGAGAGAAGGAAAAAUGUAUCCCGAGCUAAGUUUAGCUUCACUUCAUGUUCAGCAAGUUCAGGAACACGUGAUUCCAUGCAGUACCAUCAAUUCAGAUCAACUUGUGAGGAGUUUGGCAAGCACAUGUUAUCGUUAUCAUUGCAGUGCUGGCCAUUUCUUGCGCAAAACUCACCCUGCCUGGAAAAGAUAAAGAACCCUAUAGACUUCCGUUGGCUUGGGACAGCAAUAUUUCAGUCUCUUCAUCUUUCUGAGGUAGAUUCUGCCAACCUUUCUUGUACAGAUGGUGUAGCAAUUUUCACUGAAGAGCAGAAGGGGUGUAUUCUCAACUUAGCUAUUUGCUGCAUCACCUUUUGCAAAUAUCUUGCAAAUAUAUGCUAUGGUCCACAACAUUAUCUGGCAAAUCAUGCUAAAGAUCUGCUUGAAGGUAUCUAUCUAGCACAACGAAGUUGACGUUUGACGUGUUCCAUCGUCAUUAUCGGUGGUUGUGGAGCUUACUUUCAAGAUGGUUGCAGGAUUAAAUGAAUAUUUUCUUUGUAUUUAAGCACAGUUUGCCAAUAAUGUUUAUUCUGAUGAACAAAGUUAAUGACAAUGAGAUAUUUUGGAGAAGUCUCUGACAUGCUUCUGUGGCAUUGGUUUCACUUAAGAUUCAUGUUUCUGUAUAACCAUGUAGCAGUGUUGUCUUGAAGUCUGUUCUAGCACUCUCUGUCACAUUAACAUUCUAUGGUUGAUCCCUGGACCAUUCUAUUGGUAACCUCCCCCAUUAUGCAAAAGUAUUCACAUGCUUUCUGAUUAGAUGCAGAAAAAAUUGUUUAUCGGCCAUGGAAGAAUCAUCAUCAAACUGGGCCAUGAAGAUCUUCACCUCAAGUAAAGGUGCAAAUAAAACUAUUAUAUUUAUGUACUCUUUAGUUGGGGUCAGUUAUUGGUGGCUGGUGGCUGGGGGAGGGGCAUGGAGGGGAUACUCCCAUUUUGUAGAUUUCUCAAGUUGCAUGUUGUUGGCAGCGCACUGCAGAGUCGUGUCAUCUAGCAAUGAUUGAAGAUAUUUUCUACAAUAUUCUAGUGAGAAAUAAUUUACCUUUUUUUUGGUCACAAAUUCAAGUAUGUCUUGGUUCAGUGAACUGAAGACGACAUGUUUGCCUCUUUGAUCAAGAAUAUAAUUAUUUCAGUCUUUUUUGGGAGCAAAACUGUUAAAUGGAAGAUGCUCCUUGUAAACAUUCCUCAGAUGAAAAUAAAAUUUGUUUUAGACAUGAAUGACAUGGUGACAGUCUAUUGCUAUGUUUGAACAGAGAUAUUUCACUCUGCACAGUUGGAUGAAAUGAGCUCACUGAGCAAAAUUGCUUUGUGCCACCUGUAUCCUCACAGAUGGGCUGAUUUUGUGGAUUGUUUGUCCAGUAAACCAAAUAUGUUUCUUUUUCUCAUUUGGUCAAUCUCAGUAUGACAAGUGAUUUUGUUCCUACUUCUGUAUUCUUAGUUGGUUACUCUUUAAGCCUAAUUUAAUGCUUCCUGCAGGGAUGUCCGUUUUCCCAAGCACACUGGAGAAAUGUGUAAGCACAUGAAUGGCUGAUCAUUCUGAUACCAGCCAGCACAGUUUACUGCAACUGCUACUGCUGCUUUCUCUUUAUGCCUGCUCAUUAUCAUGCCAACUAAUUUCUUCGUAGCAGGUGACAGUAACGUGUAGUUUAUCUCUAGAACUUCAAGCUUCUAUAUGUUUCAGUACCAAUAAGGUAGCUUCGUUGUUUCAAGUAACAGUUUUAAUUUAGACGUAUGUUUUAAUGAUAAAUUGAACGGCAUAAAUGAUCAGAAAUUUGGAUUUGACCGCAACCACAAACACAGCAAAUUUGGUUACUGAGAAACAGAUGGCUCUGCUGUAGCAGGUUCAAUGGAUGCCCAUCAGAAUAAUUGCCGGAAUAUGCUUUGGCAUCUUCCGUUGCUUGCAGAAUUGCUUCCACUGAUCUAACCAGUGGGAAGUUAAACUGUCCUCCAUUAAUGAGCCGGUUUGUCGAUUCCUAUCAGUCACCAUUCUGCUUAAAGCGGGUGUUGCUGAUAACUCAGGAAUUUCUCUUCUCUAUCGUAUCCCUCUCUCCCAANNNNNNNNNNNNNNNNNNNNNNNNNNNNNNNNNNNNNNNNNNNNNNNNNNNNNNNNNNNNNNNNNNNNNNNNNNNNNNNNNNNNNNNNNNNNNNNNNNNNGAGGGGGAGGGAGAGGGAGAGGGAGAGAGAGAGAGAGAGAGGGAGGGAGGGAGGGAGAGAUAGAGAUAAAGAGAGAUCAAAUACAUAGCUACUGGUAUAUACCCUCAUCCCCGAGGGUGACUCCCUAUUCGACAUGGAGACCGCAGGGAUGAUGAAGAUGGCCUAUGACGAUGAUUGCCCCCUCCAGUAGAGUCCCGAAACAGGGCUCCGAAUGAGAUUUCUUCGGUACAAAGGCUUGCAACGGCGGAGCAGAAGUUCUAGGUUUAUUUCUGAUGGUUUCUACAUUUAUAGGAUUUUUCAGCGUUGGAAUCACGUUAAACGGAGCCACAGGGUGGUCCCAAGCCAUCAGGGCGCGCCGUAGGUGGGUAGCCGCACCCUGAUGCCUUUGGGGCACCUAGUGUAACGCCCAAGAUGUGGUACUAUCCUCAUCCAGGCUCGAGGGCCUUGAUAGGGAUAGAAGCACAUCUCGUCGUUCCGCAAGAAUGGAUAUCAUUACAAGUACAUGUAAAGAGGAUCCGAGUAUAUGGAAUUGGCUUACACUCGCCACAAGCUAAAUCACGAUCAUAUCAAUACAAACAUCCGUAGCAAUCAUCAUACAUAAAAGCAGGGUCUCCUAUGGACAAAAUCAAAUGAUAAAAGCUACAUCCAUCUUGCUAUCCCAGGCUACGAACCUGGAAUCCAUCCUAUGAUCGAAGAAGAAGAAGAAGAAGAAGUCCAAAUGAAACAAGAAUCACCCUCACAUCAAAUCAUCGCAUUGCCUGUACCUAAAACUGUCGUUGUAGUAAUCUGUGAGCCACGGGGACUCAACAAUCUCAUUUCCAAGGGUAUCAAGACUAGCAAAGUGUAAUGGGUGAGGUAUGGUUAAGUGAUGAGGUUGCAGCAACACUAAGCAUUUUAUUUGGCUAACUUACGAGUACAAUAAUAAGAAGAGUGAUCUAUGCAAAACUGACAUGAACUAGUAAUGAUCAAGAAGUGAUCCCGAACACCUACUUAUGAGUCAGACAUAACCCCACCGUGCUCCCUUCUUGGUUCAAACCACACAAGAGGAGACAAUCACAGUUACACACACACACACACACUAUUGGUGUAUUUUAGUUGAGUUUACUUCAAGUUUGCUAUAACCGAAUGUUAAACAAUUUCCAAGUUGCCACACAACCGCGGGCAAGGCUCUCAAAAAUAUUUAACCCUACAGGGGUGCUCCAACUCAUCCAUCACAAACUAGCCACAAGCUGCGGUGGAAAACCUCAACCUCGAGAUAGCCCAAAGUAUCCUCGGAGUCCCAGUGCACAAGACAUUCGAGAAGGGUAAAACAAAUCCAGCAAGACCGCCCAACAUGUCGGGGAACCCGAUAGGAGCCGCGUAUCUCGUUCUCAGGACAUGACCAGAUGAUCGUAGCGUACAGUGGCCUGAUAGAAAUUCCUCGAGUUGGCCCCGCACAUGACACUAGUUUGGACCAACACUCAUGAGGGGCACUGGCCUGGGUUGUCGAUUAAUUAUCCACAAGUGCCGGUGGGUCCCUAUAUAUGUUUUAUUAGUUAGACAAAUGUAGUACCAAUUUUGGGCCUUGGCGAAAGAGUCUUAUUGCAAAACGAAUUAUCAAGGGGGUCCCUAUAACAACCCCAAGCAUGUUAGGAGCUAUCAAUAUGGAACAUAAUACCAUUACACAAGUAACUAGGGUGGCAAAGGUGGAACAAAACACUGAGAAAAAGGCCAAUAUUUCCACCUUUUACCAAGUAUAUAUGUGCAUUAAAUUAAAUAGCAAUAAUAUUAUGAUAUCCCAAGAUAUCCAUGUUACUACAUGGAACAACCUGCACCUGCAACUAGCAACAUUAUAAGAAGGGUUGAGCAAGCGGUAAGAUAGCCAAACAAUGGUUUGCUGGGAUGUGGAGGGUUAGAGGCUUACCAUGGCAUUUUGCGAGGCUUAACAAACAAGUGGUAGGUAACGAGACAUAACGGUAGAAGCAAGACAACUAGCAUGACAAUGAUAGUAGUGGUAUCCAGUGAAAUGAUCAUCUUGCCUGAUAUCCCGCUUGGAAAAAGAAUGAACCCGUGAGGUAGGCGAACGGGCGUAGUCGAACGAAUCCUCACACUCCAAACGGUUUCGGAACUCUAGCAAGGAGAAGAAAAUCUAGAAACAAUCAAACAACACACGAUAAACACCACAAAAUAUUCAUGAUAUGAUAUGCAAACAAAUAUGAUGCAUGUCCGGUUUAAAUAGGCAUGGCAUGACAAUCACAAUAAUCACACACUACACAUUACGUGAAGUUCAAUAUGCGACGAGUUGCAUAUUGACGAAACUCAAUGUUCGAAUCAUUUAGUUCACUCUUGUUUAUGUACAUGGAAACUUUAAAUGUUUUUAAACAUGGCAAAAGAUGAAGCAAAAUGAAACUACACUAUCUAGGCAUUUUAAAUGAGGUCGAAAACAACUUAUAAUAUUUCUGAAACAACCCCGUAUGUUAAUUUCAAAAUUGGUCCAGAUCUGAACUAACCAUGUUUUAUAGUUAUUAAAAAGGAGCAUAAAAUAUACCCUAUGAUUCUACUCGUCAUUCUAGGUGAUAUAUAUAUAUAUAUAUAUAUAUAUAUANNNNNNNNNNNNNNNNNNNNNNNNNNNNNNNNNNNNNNNNNNNNNNNNNNNNNNNNNNNNNNNNNNNNNNNNNNNNNNNNNNNNNNNNNNNNNNNNNNNNGGAUGGAUACUCCAAGAAAAUUUGCUAAGCGUGUAGCAUAAACUCCACCAAACAAACCCCCUCACUGGCAUUUUUAUUCAGCCUCCUUGCUAUUAUAGCUCCCAUAUUGAAGCUCCUGUCACCUGUUACUGCGCUCUUAAGGAUACUAAGGUCAGAAGCGCAUAGGUGACAAUGUGCACCCUUGCCGUUAAUGCACCUACCUGUGAAGAGGGCAAGGUAGUGCAAGGCAGGGAAAUGGAUGCUUCCUAUGGUGGCUUGCUUGAUAUCUCUGCUUUCUCCAACAAUUAUACUGGAGACAAAGUCUCUGACCGAAUUCUUAGAAGGAUCAUUAAUACUACCCCCAUCAGGUAUCUUGCAAAUCCUAUUGAAAUCCUCCAAAUCCAUGGCGUAGGAUUUAUCGUACAGAUCAAACAGUAUGGAUGAGUCACGGCCAACUGAAAAUUUAAAUCUAUGCACGAAACAGGCAGUGAGCAUAGCAUAUUGUUCACAUUUAUCUGAGAGGAAUUCUUCUAACCUGGAAUUGCGGACAAGUGUAUCAAACUCAUCCUUGAAACCUGCUUCGAUCAUGAACUCAUCAGAAGGCCAUUCACAUGGUUGUACCGGUGCGUCCCUUAGUUGAAAAGGCUCGGGCUCCCGAAAAGAAAGACGGGGACCCUUCUUACUUGAGGAACCACCAUGAAACUUCCUCCUGAACAUANNNNNNNNNNGACCGAAGACUUAGAAGUAUCAUUAACACUACCCCCAUCGGGUAUCUUGCAAAUCCUAUUGAAAUCCUCCAGAUCCACGAUAUAGGAUUUAUCGUACAAAUCAAACAGUAUGGAUGAGUCACGACCAAAUAAAAAUUUAAGUCUACGCACGAAAGAGGCAGUGAGCAUAGCAUACUGUUCGCAUUUAUCUGAGAGGAAUUCUUCUAACCCGGCAUUGCGGACAAGUGUAUCAAACUCACCCUUGAAACCUGCUUCGAUCAUGAACUCAUCGGAAGGCCAUUCACAUGGUUGCAUCGAUGCGUCCCUUAGUUGAAAAGAUUCGCGCUCCCGAAAAGAGAGACGAGGACCCUUCUUACUUGAGGAACCACCAUGAAACUUCCUCCUGAACAUAAUUUCCUUUUGCUGAAAUUUUUUAAGUUCAAGAGAAAAGUGAAUGAAGACCAACCACACCUUGUAGCAACUACUCCUACUAGUGCCUAGAGACCGUAUCACGCGCNNNNNNNNNNGAAGUUCAAGAGAAAAGUGAAUGAGGACCAAUCUUACCUUGUAGCAACUACUCCUACUAGUGCCUAGAGACCGUAUCACGCGCUAAAACUACUUGGGACCAGCUAAAAUCAACAUUUCUAGCUCAGGAACAGGGUCACCAAGGUAGCAAGAAUACGCGAAGGAUAAAGCACUAAAGCAAAAACUAAUUGGACCAAUGGAGGAGUCACUUACCAAGGAGUAAUUUCCCCAAAACGGUUCGGAGAAUGGUGCUUUGAGCAAGGAGAUCGAAAAUCACAGCCAAAAGAGCAAGAACACGGGUUUGAGCUGCAAAACAUUUUUUUCUCGAGGUGGAAGAAGAGGAUGGGAGCUGGAAUGAGUGGAGGGGGUCCCUAUGGGCCCCACAAGCUUGCUAGCCGCCACCAGGGGGUGGCGGUGGCAGGGCUUGUGGCCCACUGGUCAGGCCCCCAGGCCAGCUCUUAGGCCUAGUAAUUUUCAAAUAUUCCAGAAAAAAUCAUACUAGAUUUUCAGGACCAUCGGAGAACUUUUAUUUUCGAGGUAUUUUUCUCCGGGACGCUAAAACAGAAAACAGGAAAACUAAACUGAAUCUAUCAUUUUUCAUCUAAGCAACAGAAAAUGAAAGCUCAAAACAGAGGUAUGUGACUCCUUGAUUCAUCCGUUCCAUGGUCAUCGAAAGAAAUCCGUCAAUGGGGUUGAUCAAGUCCUCAUGACAAAGCCUUCUCGAAUCGCAAGAGAGAACGGAGAAUUUUCGAAUAGCCACUAAGUUACCUCAAUGUGGAUAUGUAUCUCCCCAACAAGCAAAUCAUACUUCAUCUUGACACGAGGANNNNNNNNNNNNNNNNNNNNNNNNNNNNNNNNNNNNNNNNNNNNNNNNNNNNNNNNNNNNNNNNNNNNNNNNNNNNNNNNNNNNNNNNNNNNNNNNNNNNUUGUCUACACAAGCACUUAAUGGCUAAGCAUACGAGUACUUUGUUCCAAAUGUCUGCUAACAUAAUCAUUGAAACUAUGUUGUUUGGCAACAAAGUUGUCAAAUUCAUCAAAGCAUAGGCUGGCGGGUUUGUCAAAAGGAAUAUCACUCUCAUCAAACCUACGCAGAGAAUUCACUUCUACUACCUGUAUCGGGUUAUUGAGACCAUGGAUCUCUUUGAUAGGUGGUAGAUUUUUGACAUCUUCAGAUCUAAUGCCUUUCUCUUGCAUAGAUUUCUUGGCUUCUUGCAUAUCUUCGGGACUGAGGAAUAGAAUACCUCUUUUCUUCGGAGUUGGCUUACGAGGUGGUUCGGGAAUAGUCUAAGCAUUAUCGUUGAUCAAGAUGUUAUUCAGUAGGGUCUCAGCUUGUUCUACAGUUUGUUCCCUAAAAACACAACUGGCACAACUAUCUAGGUGGUCUCUAGAGGCAUCGGUAAGUCCGUUAUAGAGGAUAUCAAGUAUCUCGUUCUUCUUAAGAGGGUGAUCAGGCAAAGCAUUCUGUAGCUGGACGAGCCUCCCCCAAGCUUGUGGAAGACUCUCUUCUUGGAGUUGAGAAAAAUUGUAUAUUUCUUGCAAGGCGGCUUGCUUCUUAUGGGCAGGGAAAUAUUUCUCACCGAAGUAAUAGACCAUCUCCUGGGGACUACACACACAUCCAGGAGCAAGAGAGGUGGACCAGGCUUUAGCAUCAUCCUUUAGAGAGAAAGGAAACAACUUAAGGAUAUAGUAGUGGCAGAUCUUCUCCUCAUUAGUGAAAAGGUUGGCUAUAUCGUGUAGUUUGGCAAGAUGGGCUAUGACCGUCUCAGACUCAUAACCGUGAAAAGGAUCAGAUUCGACUAGAGAGAUUAUNNNNNNNNNNNNNNNNNNNNNNNNNNNNNNNNNNNNNNNNNNNNNNNNNNNNNNNNNNNNNNNNNNNNNNNNNNNNNNNNNNNNNNNNNNNNNNNNNNNNAAAGAAUGUUGUUGACGGCCCACAAGCGCAUGGGAUCGCAUCAGUUUUCGAGGGUAGAGGAUUCGACCCAAAUUUGUUGAUUCGCACGACGGGAGGUGAGAGAAUACUCUCAAGUAUUAGCAGUCGAAUUGUCAGAUUCAACCACACCUUAAAGAUUAGUAUCUGCAAGCAAAGUAGUAACAACAAAGUAGCGAGUAACGGCAGUGGCAAGGAACAUCGGUAGUGAUAGUAGUAGCAAGUAGCAACAGUAGCAAGCGACAGUAGUAGCAACAGUAGCAGCAGAACAAAACAAGUAACAACAGUAGCAACAGUAGUAGUAGCAGCAGCAGAACAAAACAAGUAACAACAGUAGUAGCAGCAACAACAGAUUAAGACAAGUAACAACAUUAGAAACAGUAGUAGCAGCAGCAGCAAUAGGACAAACUCGUAGGCAAUGGGUCGCUGAUUUGUUUGGAUGAUAUUNNNNNNNNNNUAGAAACAAUCUGUUGACACGGCAGACUAUUUCUAACGGUCGUAUCAAUGGCGCCAGAAGUUGCCCGUGGACAGAAAAUAUUCUUUCCCAUCAACGGCGCGAGAAAAAGUAUUGUAGCAGGUAGCAGUAGUGUAACGAGUAAUAGCAAUGGUAAGGAACAGUAGUAAGCGACAGUAGCAGCAGAGCAAGACAAGUAACAGCAGUAGCAGCAGAGCAAGACAAGUAACAGCAGUAGCAACAGAGCAAGACAAGUAACAACAGUGGUAGGACAAACUCGUAGGCAAUGGGUCGCUGAUUUGUUUGGAUGAUAUUCAUCAUGCAACAGCUAUAACACGGAGAGAUAUGUGGCUAGCUCCCGUUCGUCAAUGUGAUGNNNNNNNNNNNNNNNNNNNNNNUGGUGAUUUGUUUGGAUGAUAUUCAUCAUGCAAAAGUUAUAACACGGAGAGAUAUGUGGCUAGCUCCCGUUUGUCAAUGUGAUGUAGGCAUGCAUUCCGUGUGUCGUCAUACGUGCUUAGGCAAAAGAACUUGCAUGACAUCUAUUGUCCAUCCCUCCCGUGGCAGUGGGGUCCAAAAGGAAACUACGGGAUAUUAAGGUUCUCCUUUUAAUAAAGAACCGGACCAACGCAUUAGCACUUGGUGAACACAUGAACUCCUCAAACUAUGGUCAUUACCAGGAGUGAUUCCGGUUAUUGUCACUCCGGGGUUGCCGGAUCAUAACACAUAGUAGGUAACUAUAACUUGCAAGAUCGGAUCUAAAACACACAUAUAUUGGUGACAACAUAANNNNNNNNNNNNNNNNNNNNNNNNNNNNNNNNNNNNNNNNNNNNNNNNNNNNNNNNNNNNNNNNNNNNNNNNNNNNNNNNNNNNNNNNNNNNNNNNNNNNGACGUAUCAACUCCCCCAAGCUUAAAACCUUGCUUGUCCUCAAGCAACUCAGUUGACAAACUGAGAGAGAAAUAAAAACUUUGACAAACUCUGUUUGAUCUUGUUGUUGCAACUAUGUCUAACUCAUAACCAGAAUUUCAGCAAGAUCACAAGUUAACCACAUAAGCAAAUGACACAAAGGUCUCACGGUAAACUAACAUCAAUGGCAUAGUUAGCUAACGAGCAAAUAAUAAUGAGUUUUGAAUACCAACACUUCAAUCAAAACAAGCCUGAAGCAAUAUGAAUAGGUGGUAUCUCACUAGCUCUUUCUGAGACUGCAAAACAUAAAUGUAGUGCACUUUCAAAGAUCAAGGGCUGACUAAACAUUGUAAUUGAUAGCAACGAAGAUCCAGUCAUAGUCAUACUCAAUAUCAAUCAAAAGCAAAGCAUAAAAAUGACAGAGGUGCUCUCUAAUUGGUGCUUAUAAAAGAGGAGGAUGACUCAACAGGAAAAUAAAUAGACAGGCCCUUCGCAGAGGGAAGCAUUGAUUUGCAGAGGUGCCAGAGCUCAAGCUUCGAAAACAGAGAUAAUAAUUUUGGGUGGCAUGCUUUCAUUGUCAACGCAAUGACAAGGAGUUCUCAAUAUCUUCCAUGAUACUCAUGCUAUAGGCGGUUCCCAAACAGAAAAGUAAAGUUUUAACUCCCCACCACCAAUCAAUCACACUCCACGGCUAGCCGAAUCCUCGGGUACCGUCCAUACUAACAUCAAUCCGGGGGGAGUAUUGUUUUACAGUUAUGUUUUCGAUUUAAGCGUGGAACUGGGCAUUCCAAUUACCGGCCCCUUUCUCGUGAAUGACAGUGAAUAAACACAUGUCGAGGAUAACACUCCUAGCAUGGAAGAUAUCAAUAGCCCCCUGUCACCACAUGAGCGGUUCGGGCAUGCAAAACAGAUUAUUUCUUGAAGGUUUAGUGAAUGACACAUGCAAAUUUACUUGGAACGGCAGGUAGAUACCGCAAAUAGGUAGGUAUUGUGGACUCUCAUGGAAAAACUUUUGGGUUUAUGGAAGUGGAUGCACAAGCAGUAUGCUGCUUAGUACAAGUGAAGGCUAGCAAAAGACUGGGAAGCGAGCAACUAGAGAGCGACAACAAUCAUCAAGAUGCAAUGAGUUUGACUAACAUUGAAUGCAAGCAUGAACAGGAUAUAAAUCACCAUGAACACGAACAUCAUAGAGUCUAUGUUGAUUUUGUUUCAACUACAUGCAUGAACAUGCGCCAAGUCAAGCCACUUGAAACAUUCAAAGGAGAAUACCAUCCUAUCAUACUAAAUCAUAGUCAUCUCAAAAUCUAUGUUGGUAAUCAAGACAAGCCAUUAUAAGCUCUCAGCUAAAUAAGCAUGGCAUCAGAAACUAUGAUCUCUAAGUUGUCAUUGCAAACAUGGUUGUCUCACAACAAAGCUAAAUCUGGGUCGACAAGCUAGUCAUAUUCACAAAAACAAAAUAGAUAGAGUUCAUACCAGCUUUUCAGUCUCAGUCACUUCAUCAUAUAUCAUCAUUCUUGCCUUUCAUUUGCACGAUCGAACGAUGAAAACGAUAAUAAGCGCAUUGGACUAAGCUGAAUCUGCAGGCAAACACAAAGGAGAAGACAAAGUAAUAUGGCUCUUUGAAAGCUAAACAGGUAAGCAUGCAAGAAUCAAUAAACAUUGUAACCAAUAUCUUCUACCUAGACCCAUAGAAAAAGAAAACUAUUUACUCGGGAAAGCUCCCAACAAGCAAAAGAAGAAAGAAAAAUCUUUUUGGGUUUUCUCAAAAGGACACAAAACAAGAAAACAAGAAAACAAAAAUAAACUAGCAUGGAUAAUACGGUGGCAAAGUGUAAACACCGCCUAACAAAGUGAAAGCAUAAGCAUGAAUAUAAAGUCGGUGAGAACACGUACUCCCCCAAGCUUAGGCUUUUGGCCUAGCUUGGUCUACUCCCAAGGAUGAUCCUGGCAAAACCCAAAGUCAUAAUGGGUGUUAUACGGGAGUGCUGCAGCCACUGUCUGAAUAGCUGCCUCACGAAGUCGAGCAGCCGUCGCCUCUCUCUCAUACUCCUCUGCCUCUCCUAUGGUUAUGUAGUANNNNNNNNNNNNNNNNNNNNNNNNNNNNNNNNNNNNNNNNNNNNNNNNNNNNNNNNNNNNNNNNNNNNNNNNNNNNNNNNNNNNNNNNNNNNNNNNNNNNNNNNNNNNNNNNNNNNNNNNNNNNNNNNNNNNNNNNNNNNNNNNNNNNNNNNNNNNNNNNNNNNNNNNNNNNNNNNNNNNNNNNNNNNNNNNNNNNNNNNNNNNNNNNNNNGUACAGAGAGGAGGGUCUUCUGGAUGGAUGGAUACUCCAAGAAAAUUUGCUAAGCGUGUAGCAUAAACUCCACCAAACAAACCCCCUCACUAGCAUUAUUAUUCAGCCUCCUUGCUAUUAUAGCUCCCAUAUUGAAGCUCCUGUCANNNNNNNNNNUAGGAGCAGGAAGGGUAAUAUGGAAAACACGCUGCCGGUUAAGUAUCAAGCGGUAUAGGAGGGAUCCAUGAUCUCUCUCAAGGAACUGGUANNNNNNNNNNNNNNNNNNNNNNNNNNNNNNNNNNNNNNNNNNNNNNNNNNNNNNNNNNNNNNNNNNNNNNNNNNNNNNNNNNNNNNNNNNNNNNNNNNNNUGUAACAUCCCAAAUUUUGGAAUGUUAAUAAAAUUAUUAGAUUGAUUGUUUGUUUGUUUGUUUGAGUGAUUGAAACUUGAGUGAAAUUCGAAACUUUUCAAAAACUUUUGAAUAAGAGGGAAUAAAAUGACUUUCCCGUUUCCUGUGAGUUCAAAUUCAUCUUUUUUUAAACCAGAAAGAGGAGAUAGCAUGACUUCUUCAACUACAAAGAAUUUGAACCAAGGAGGCACUUGAAUUUCCUUUCGAUUUUUCCUGCAUUUUGUUUUCUUCUUCACUCAAGAAAUGUCGGGGAAUAAUAUUCUGUCAAACAGAAAAGAGAGGAGGAACAUGACCCUCCAAAGCCAAGGGCAUUUGUUGAAGUAUUCUGAGCCAAGAAAACAAAAUUUAAUUGAGAAAAUAAUUUGCAAAAAGAAAUAAAGCAUUUAGGGGAUUUUCUGAAGAAAAAAAAUUGAAGUUUUUAUUUUGGCCGUGGAAAAAUGUUCAUCGUGUAGAGAUUAUUUUUCUGAAAAUUUUGGUAUAUAAUACCCCUAUAUUCCGUGCUUAAACUAUUUCCUAUUACACGUUUUUCUUUCCUAGUUUUAAUAAAAAGGAAACAACUUUUAUUUAGGAAAGGCAUCUGGGCCCAAAAGGAAACAGAUCCGGCCGAGGGAUUCCGUCAUCCCCUACCUCCAGCGCCUUCCUCCUCUGCCAUGGCCACGCUCCAGGGAAGCUUCCUCCCAAAAAAAAUUCCCCGGGAUUCGCGGAUUUCUUUCCCUCCUAGCUUCUCCCGUCACCCCUAUAAGAAUGCCCAGGUCCUCCUCGUUCCAUUCCCGUUGGAACCGCCGCCUCUCCCCACCUCCUCCUCCCCCUUUGAACCUCGCCGGAGCCGGCCACAGAACUCUCCCGUCGCCACCCCACGCCCCUGCCGAGCCCCUCNNNNNNNNNNNNNNNNNNNNNNNNNNNNNNNNNNNNNNNNNNNNNNNNNNNNNNNNNNNNNNNNNNNNNNNNNNNNNNNNNNNNNNNNNNNNNNNNNNNNUUAUUCGAAGAAGGGUUCUCACCAUUUUCUUAUGGUACUUUUCUCACUUGCUUCUUAUUGAUAUUUCUAUCAAGACUGUGUUAUCCCAUGUCUUUAGUUUUCCAACAAACUUGGUUUCAUUGAAUUCGGAGUCUGUAUGCGAAAGUUAGAGCAGUUUCAGUAUCCAUCGGUAGUACCGCUCCUGUAGCGGUAGUACCGCCCGCGGAGCGGUAGUAAUUUUUUACUACCGCUCCCUAGCGGUAGUACCACUCCGCCUGACUGUUUUUCGCAUCCUUUUUGUCCUCAUCAUGGUUGGUGAACCUACCGAGCGGUAGUACCGCUCCAUGAGCGGUAGUACCGCUCUGUGCGGGCUGUGAAGCAUAACGGUGGGAUUUUCCCCACCUAUAAAAGGGGGUCUUCUUCCCCAUUGAACCUUAUCUCUUUAGCUCGUGUUCUUCCCCCAUGGUUGACCUUCUUCGAGCUUUCUAACUCUCAAUCCCUCCAAUGAUUCUUNNNNNNNNNNNNNNNNNNNNNNNNNNNNNNNNNNNNNNNNNNNNNNNNNNNNNNNNNNNNNNNNNNNNNNNNNNNNNNNNNNNNNNNNNNNNNNNNNNNNNNNNNNNNNNNNCUUGGGUCUAGAUCUUGGUGUUCUUCGUGUUCUUCUUUAUUCUUCCUCUCAUUUUCCUCCCUAGCAUUAGUUGCUUUGGUGGGAUUUGGGAGAGAAGGAUUUGGGCACUCCGUGUGCCCUUGCCAUUGCAUUUGGUGCAUCGAUUUGAGUUCUCCACGGUGAUACGUGGAAGUGAGAAGUUGAGAAGCUUAUUACCUUUGGGUACUUGGUACCCCUAGAAGCUUGGCGGUGCCUCGGAGCUCAAUCAUUAUGGCGUAAAGCUCCGGGCAAGCGUCGGGGUCUCCAAUUAAGUUGUGGAGAUUGCCCCGAGCACUUGUGGUCACCUCGAAGCCAUAUGCCAUUGUGGUGAAGCUUUGUGGUGUUGUUGGGAGCCUCCAAUUAAGUUGUUGAGAUUGCCCCAACUUUGUUUGUACGGGUUCGGUGACCGCCCUCAAGGGUCCCUUAGUGGAACCACAUCAUCUUGCAUUGUGCGAGGGCAUGAGGAGAUUACGGCGGCCUUAGUGGCAUCUUGGUGAGCAUUGUGCCUCCACACUGCUCCAACGGAGAUUAGCAUCCGCAACGGUGUGAACUUCGGGAUACAUCAUCGUCUCAGCGUGCCUCGGUUAUCUCUUACCCAAACCCUUUACUUAUGCACUUUACUUUGUGAUAGCCAUAUUUUUUCUUGUCAUAUAUCUUGCUAUCACUUAGUUGUUUAUCUUGCUUAGCAUAAGUUAUUGGUGCACAUAGUUGAGCCUAGUUGUUUUAGGUUUUGUGCUUGACAAAUUAAACGUUAGUUUUAUUCCGCAUUUGUUCAAGCCUAAACCGUAAUUAUUUUAAAGCGCCUAUUCACCCCCUUUCUAGGAGACAUCCACGUCCUUUCAGCGUUUACUAUAUUGCUAGGUUGUAGCUUUAGUAGUAAUAGCAUAGAUAGCACGACAACCUCGUUGGUGGCACGAUGAUGGAGAUCAUGGUGUGGCGUCGGUGACAAGAAGAUCAUGCCGGUGCUUUGGUGAUGGAGAUCAAGAAGCACAAGAUCAUGGCCAUAUCAAGUCACUUAUGAAUUGCAUGUGAUGUUAAUCCUUUUAUGCACCUUAUCUUGCUUAGAACAACGGUGGCAUUAUAAGGUGAUCCCUCACUAAAAUAUCAAGAUAAAAUUGUGUUCUCCCCGACUGUGCACCGUUGCGUUAGUUCAUCGUUUCGAGACACCACGUGAUGAUCGGGUGUGAUAGACUCAACGUUCACAUACAAUGGGUGCAAAACAGUUGCACACGCGGAACAUUCGGGUUAAACUUGACGAGCCUGGCAUGUGCAGACAUGGCCUCGGAACACAAGAGACCGAAAGGUCGAGCAUGAAUCAUAUAGUUGAUAUGAUUAGCAUAGAGAUGUUUAACACUGAAACUAUACUCAACUCACGUGAUGAUCGGACUUGAGUUAGUGAAUUUGGAUCAUGCCACACUCAAGUAACUAGAGGGGUGUCUAUUUGAGUGGGAGUUUAUUAAUAAUUUGAUUAGUUAAACUCUAAUUGUCUUGAACAUAGUAUAAGUCCACUUUGCAAUAUUUUAUGUUGUAGAUCAAUGGCUCACGCAGUAGCAACCCUAAAUUUCAAUACGUUCCUAGAGAAAGGAAAGUUGAAAGAUGAUGGAAGGAACUUUGUAGACUGGGCACGUAAUCUUAGGCUCAUCCUACAAGCUGGGAAAAAGAAUUAUGUCCUUGAUGUUGUGCUAGGAGAUGAACCACCCGCUAUGUCUCACCAAGAUGUUUUGAACGCUUGGCAAUCGCGUAAGGAGGACUACUCAGUAGUUCAAUGUGCGGUCUUGUAUGGCUUAGAACCGGGACUUCAAUGGAGCUUUGAGAGUCAUGGAGCAUAUGAGAUGUUCCAGGAGUUGAAGUUUAUCUUUCAGAAGAACGCCCGGAUCGAGAGGUAUGAGACCUCCGAUAAAUUCUAUGCUUGCAAGAUGGAGGAGAAUUCGUGUGUCAGUGAACAUGUGCUCAAAAUGUCUGGGUACUCAAACCGUCUAGCUGAGCUCGGGAUUGAACUCCUGCAAGAGGAUAUCACUGAUAGAGUUCUUCAAUCACUGCCACCUAGCUAUAAAAGCUUUGUGUUGAACUAUAACAUGCAAGGGAUGAACAAGUCACCCGGCGAGUUAUUCGCGCUGCUAAAAGUCGCAGAGUCAGAACUCCGGAAAGAGCAUCAAGUGUUGAUGGUCAAUAAGACCACUGCUUUCAAGAGAAACGACAAAGGCAAGAAGGGUAACUCCAAGAGGAGCGGCAAAACUGUUGCCAAUCCGACGAAGAAACCCAAGGCUGGACCUAGGCCGGAAACAGAGUGCUAUUAUUGCAAGGGGAUGGGUCACUGGAAGCGCAACUACCCCAAGUAUUUGGCUGAUAAGAAGGCGACCAAAUAAAAAUCAGGUAUAUGUGAUAUACAUGUUAUUGAUGUGUACUUAACCAACUCUCGUAGUAGUGCCUGGGUAUUUGAUACCGGUUCUGUUGCUCAUAUUUGCAACUCGAAGCAGGAAGUGCGGAAUAAACGAAGGCUGGGGAAGGAUGAAGUGACGAUGCGCGUGGGAAAUGGUUCCAAGGUUGAUGCAAUCGCUGUCGGCAUAGUCUCACUUCAGUUACCAUCAGAAUUAGUUAUGAACUUGAAUAAUUGUUAUUUAGUGACUGCGUUAAGCAUGAACAUUAUAUCUGGAUCUUGUUAUUGCGAGACGGUUACUCAUUUAAGUUAGAGAAUAAUGGUUGUUCUAUUUCUAUUAGUAAUAUCUUUUAUGGUCAUGCACCCAAUGUGAGAGGUUUAUUCAUAUUGAAUCUUGAUUGUGAUGAUACACAUAUACAUAACAUUGAGACCAAAAGAUGUAGAGUUAACAAUGAUAGCGCCAUGUUUUUGUGGCACUGCUGCUUAGGUCAUAUUGGAGUAAAGCGCAUGAAGAAACUCCAUUCUGAUGGGCUUUUGGAGUCACUUGAUUUUGAAUCACUUGACACGUGCGAACCAUGCCUCAUGGGCAAGAUGACUAAGACUCCGUUCUCCGGAACAAUGGAGCGUGCAAGUGACUUGUUGGAGAUCAUACAUACCGAUUUGCGGUCCAAUGAGUGUGGAGGUGCGCGGCGGAUAUCGUUAUUUUCUCACCUUCACCAACGAUUUGAGUAGGUAUGGAUAUAUCUACUUGAUGAAGCACAAGUCUGAAACGUUUGAGAAGUUCAAGCAAUUUCACAGUGAAGUUGAAAAUCAUCGUAACAAGAAGAUCAAGUUCCUGCGUUCCAAUCGAGGGGGCGAAUAUCUGAGUUUCGAGUUUGGUGCUCACUUAAGACAAUGUGGAAUAGUUUCACAGUUGACACCACCUGGAACACCACAGCGUAAUGGUGUGUCCGAACGUCGUAAUCGUACUUUGUUAGAUAUGGUGCGAUCUAUGAUGUCUCUUACCGAUUUGCUGUUAUCGUUUUGGGGUUAUGCAUUAGAGACAUCCGCAUUCACUUUAAAUAGGGCACCGUCAAAAUCCGUUGAGACGACACCAUAUGAGCCGUGGUAUGGCAAGAGGCCAAAGUUGUCGUUUCUUAAAGUUUGGGGAUGUGAUGCUUAUGUCAAAAAGCUUCAGCCUGAAAAGCUGGAACCCAAAGCGGAAAAGUGCGUCUUCAUAGGUUACCCAAAGGAGACAGUUAGGUACACUUCUAUCUCAGAUCCGAGGGCAAAGUGUUUGUUGCUAAGAACAGAGCUUUUCUUGAGAAGGAGUUUCUCUCGAAACAAUUGAGUGGGAGGAAGAUAGAACUUGAUGAGGUUGUAGAACCUCUACUCCCUCUAGAUGGUGGCGCAGGGCAAGGGGAAACCUCUGUCGAAGCAACGCCGGUUCAGGAGGAAGCUAAUGAUGAUGAUCAUGAAGCUUCGGAUCAAGUUGCUAUGGGACCUCGCAGGUCGACAAUAUCACGUACUGCUCCUGAGUGGUAUGGUAAUCCUGUCUUAUCAAUCAUGUUGUUAGACAACAAUGAACCUGCGAAUUAUGAAGAAACAAUGGUGGGCCGAAUUCCUACAAAUGGCUGGAGGCCAUGAAGUCCGAGAUAGGAUCUAUGUAUGAAAACAAAGUUUGAACUUUGGAAGUAUUACUUGAAGGCCGCAAGGCUAUUCAGAACAAAUGGAUCUUUAAGAAGAAGACGGACGCGGACGGUAAUGUGACCGUUUAUAAAGCUCGACUUAUGGCAAAGGGUUUUUCACAAGUUCAAGGAGUUGACUACGAUGAGAUGUUCUCACCGGUAGCGAUGCUUAAGUCCGUCCGAAUCAUGUUAGCAAUAGCUGCAUUUUUCGAUUAUGAAAUCUGGUAGAUGGAUGUCAAAACGGCGUUCCUUAACGGUUUUCUUUAGGAAGAGUUGUAUAUGAUGCAACCCGAAGGUUUUGUCGAUCCGAAGAAUGCUAACAAAGUAUGCAAGCUCCAGUGAUCCAUUUAUGGACUGGUGCAAGCAUCUCAGAGUUGGAAUAAGCGCUUUUAUGAGGUGACCAAAGCAUUUGGGUUUAUACAAGUUGUUGGAGAAUCUUGUAUUUAUAAGAAAGUGAGUGGGAGCUCUGUGGCGUUUCUAAUAUUAUAUGUGGAUGACAUAUUGCUGAUUGGAAACAAUGUGGAGUUUUUAGAGAGCGUAAAAGAUUACUUGAACACAUGUUUUUCUAUGAAGGACCUAGGAGAAGCUACUUAAAUAUUAGGCAUUAAGAUCUAUAGGGAUAGAUUGAGACGCCUAAUAGGACUUUCACAAAGCACAUACCUUGAUAAAGUUUUGAAGAAGUUCAAAAUGGAGCAGUCCAAGAAGGGGUUCUUGCCAGUAUUACAAGGUAUAAAGUUGAGUUAGACUCAGUGUCCAAUAACUGCGGAAGAUAGAGAAAAGAUGAGUACCGUCCCCUAUGCUUCAGCCAUAGGGUCUAUCAUGUAUGCAAUGAUGUGCACUAGACCGGACGUCAGCCUGGCCAUAAGUAUGGCAGGCAGGUUUCAAAGUAAUCCAGGAGUGGAUCACUGGACGGCAGUCAAGAAUAUUCUAAAGUGCCUGAAAAGGACUAAGGAAAUGUUUCACCUUUAUGGAGGUGACGAAGAGCUCGUCGUAAAGGGUUACGUCGAUGCAAGCUUUGACACUAAUCUGGAUGACUCUAAGUCUCAAACCAGAUACGUAUUUAUUCUUAAUGGGGGUGCGGUAAGCUGGUGCAGUUCCAAGCAAAGCAUCGUAGCAGAUUCUACAUGUGAGGCGGAGUACAUGGCUGCCUAGGAGGAAACUAUGGAGGGUGUCAGCAUGAAGCAGUUCAUGACAGAUCUUGGAGUUGUGCCAAGCGCACUAAAUCCAAUAACUCUGUUCUGUGACAACACUGGUGCCAUUGCUUUAGCAAAGGAGCCAAGGUUUCACUAGUAGACCACACACAUCAAACGACGCUUCAACCUCAUCCGCGACUAUGUCGAAGGAGAGGACGUAAAUGUUUGCAAAGUGCAUGCUGCGGCAACAAAACUCCUUCCCUGGCACGUAGGAAUUCUUCUUGUUACUUUUCUCGUUUGCGUCGGUUUUUCCCUUGAGGAGGAAAGGGUGAUCCAACACAGGAGCAGUAAGUAUUUCCCUCAGUUUUAGAACCAAGGUAUUGAACCAAAAGGAGGGCCUCGUCAAGUCCAGAGUACCUGCGCAAACACANNNNNNNNNNNNNNNNNNNNNNNNNNNNNNNNNNNNNNNNNNNNNNNNNNNNNNNNNNNNNNNNNNNNNNNNNNNNNNNNNNNNNNNNNNNNNNNNNNNNGAAGAAGAACACGAAGAACACCAAGAUCUAGACCCAAUGGGUCCCCUCACUUAGAGGAGAAAGUGAUUGGUGGAAAUGUGGAUCUAGAUCUCCUCUCUCUUUUCCCUCAAGAACUAGCAAGAAUCAUUGGAGGGAUUGAGAGUUAGAAAGCUCGAAGAAGGUCAACAAUGGAGGAAGAACACGAGCUAAAGAGAUAAGGUUCAAUGGGGAAGAAUACACCCUUUUAUAGGUGGGAAAAAAUCCAACCGUUAUGCUUCACAGCCCGCACAGAGCGGUACUACCGCUCAUGGGAGCAGUACUACCGCUCGGUAGGUUCACCAACCAUGCUGAGGCCAAAAAGGACGCGAAAAGCAGUCCGGCGGAGCGGUACUACCACUAGGGAGCAGUAGUAAAAAAUUACUACCGCUCCGGGGGCGGUACUACCGCUCCCGGGGCGGUACUACCGCUACACGAGCGGUACUACCGAUGGAUACUGAAACUGCUCUAACUUUCGCAUACGGACUCCGAAUUCAACGAAACCAAGUUUGUUGGAAAAUUAACGACAUGGGCUAACACAAUCUUGAUACAAAUAUCAAUAAGAAUCUAGUGAGAAAAGUACCAUAAGAAAAUGGUGAGAACCCUUCUUCGAAUAAGACCUGUAAAACUCCCAGCAUCGAAAACAUCAUAGAAGGUGCAUAUGGACUCCGUUUUCGAUGAACUCGAGCUUGUCAUGAAGAUGACCAUAAGAUAUAAAACUCACAAAGAGAAACACCAAACAAGAACCAAGAAGUAUGAUGCAAGGAUGCAAAUGGUUUGAGCUCUCAACGAACGAUACGAUCAAGCUACUCACUUGAGAGCCCCCAUUGACAGUACGGCAAUCUAUCCUAAAACAGAAAACCUAUCAAGGGCAAACCUAUACCUUGNNNNNNNNNNCUCUAAAACUCACAAAGAGAAACACCAAAAAAUAACCAAGAAGUAUUAUGCAAGGAUGCAAAUGGUUUGAGCUCUCAAUGAACGAUACGAUCAAGCUACUCACUUGAGAGCCCCCCUUGACAGUACAACAAUCUAUCCUAAAACAGAAAACCUAUCAAGGGCAAACCUAUACCUUGCACCUCGUCCUAUUGAUCUAGAUAACGAUGAUCUUGGCUUCCUCAAGAUGGACCACCUUUCUUGAUUGCGUUGGCUUGAUGAAGACUAGUUGAUUGCUCCCCCAUACACACUAUGGGUGAGCCGCUCUUCGACAUAUCUUCACAAGUCCAUUGCCACCAUCCUCCACCACUUGAUAUCAUCCUCCAUGGGUUGUAUGAGAUAUUUCUCUAGACGCAAGCCCAUGGAAACACACCUAACCCCACACAGAACUCUCACGAAGACCAUGGGUUAGUACACAAACACGUAAUGGACUAUGCUUACCAUACCAUGGGAUCACUUGAUCCCUCUCGGUACAUCUUGUACGCUUUGUGUGUUGAUCAUAUUGAUUUACUCUUUGUGUGAGAUCUUGAUCAACCUUGAGUCUCUAUGACCAUUCUUUGGAUAAUACCUUGAAUACCACCUUGGUCAUCAUAUAAACUCCUUGGACCCAACAGAUGGACUUCAAGAAGUGCCUACGGACAAAUCCUAUAAAUAUAACUUAAGGCAACCAUUAGUCCAUAGGAAUUGUCAUCAAUUACCAAAACCACAUAUGGAGAUAUAUGCUCUAACAAACGCAUCUGCAAAGACAAACGUUAGUUUGAAGACAACCCUAUGGCUCAUGCCGGUUGCCGUAGCAUCGACGUACAAGUCGAUAUUAACUAUUACAACAUGAUCAUCUCAUACAUCCAAUAUAUCACAUCAUGUGUUUGGUCAUAUCACAUCACAAGCAUACCCUGCAAAAACAAGUUAGACGUCCUCUAAUUUGUUGUUGCAUGCUUUACGUGGCUGCUAUGACUGCAUCUUACUUACGCAAAAACCACAACCGAGAUGUGCAAAUUGCGAUGUAACCUCUCUCCAAGGACCGCCUCGGUCAAAUCCAAUUCAACUAAAGUUGAAGAAACCGACACCCGCCAGUCAUCUUUAUGCAACAAGUUGCAUGUUGGUCGAUGAAACCAGUCUCUCCUAAGCGUACGAGUAAUGUCGGUCCGGGCCGCUUCAAUCCAACAAUACCGUCGAAUCGAGAAAAGACUAAGGAGGGUCGCAAAUCGAACAUCAACGCCCACAAAAACUUUUGCGUUCUACUCGAGAUUACAUCUAUGCAUGAACCUAGCUCAUGAUGCCACAGUUGGGGAAUGUUGCAUGGGAAUCAAAAAAAUUCCUACGCACACGAAGACCUAUCAUGGUGAUGUUCAUCUACGAGAGGGAGAUCAGAUCCACAUACCCUUGUAGAUCGCUAAGCGGGAAGCGUUAAGAAACGCGGUUGAUGUAGUGGUACAACUUCAUGAUCCAAAUCACCGUCAUCUCACGAUCCAUCCCGAUCUAGUACCGAACGGAUGGCACCUCCGCGUUCAGCACACGUAUAACUCGAUGACGAUCUCCGCCUUCUUGAUCCAGCAAGAGAGAAGGGGAAGUAGGAUAGUUCUCCGGCAGCGUGAUGGCGCGGCGGUGUUGGUGAUGAUCUAUUCCUACAGGGCUUCGCCCGAGCUCCGCAGAAAUCUAAUCUAGAGGAAGAACUAUGUGGUAUAGGUUUGAGUUGCACGUGGCAAAGUUGUGUCUCAAAAGCCCUAAAACCACCAAUAUAUAUAGGAGGAGGGGAGGGGCUAGCCUUGGGUAUCAAGGGAUCCCCAAGGGCGCCGGCCGAGAGGAGGAGGUGGACUCCCACCCCAAUUCGGUUUGGGGGAAGGAGUCCACUCCUUUCUUCCCACCUCCCUCUUUCCUUUUUUUCCUUUGGUUUUUUCUUCUUGUGGCGCCAUAGCCCACUUGGGGUGGCCUCACCAGCCCACUAAGGGCUGGUGCGCCACCCUAGUGCUAUUGGGCUCACUCCCGGGGUAGGUGGGCCCCUCUCGGUGAAUACCCGGAACCCAUUCGUCACUCCCCGUACACUCCCGGUAAUGCCCGAAAUCUUUCCGGUGACCAAAUUAAACCAUCGUGACGUCCGUGAUAUCAUCCGGGACUCCGAACAACCUUUGGUCACCAACACAUAUAACUCAACUAUACUAAAAUGUCACCGAACCUUAAGUAUGCAGAACCUGCGGGUUCGAGAACUAUGCAGACAUGACCCGAGACACUCCUCGGUCAAUAUCCAAUAGCGGGACCUGGAUGUCCAUAUUGGAUCCUACAUAUUCUACGAAGAUCUUAUCGGUUGAACCUCUGUGCCAAGGAUUCAUAUAAUAUCGUAUAACAUUCCCUUUGUCCUUCGGUAUGUAACUUGCGUGAGAUUUGAUCGUCGGUAUCUCUAUACCUAUUUCAAUCUCGUUACCGACAAGUCUCUUUACUCGUUCCGUAAUACAAGAUCUCGUGACUUACACUUGAGUCACAUUGGUUGCAAGGCUUGUAUGUGAUGUUGUAUUACCGAGUGGGCCCCGAGAUACCUCUCCGUCACACGAAGUGACAAAUUCCAGUCUUGAUCCAUGCUAACUCAACAGACAACUUCGGAGAUACCUGUAGAGCACCUUUAUAGUCACCCAGUAACGUUGUGACGUUUGAUACACACAAGGUAUUCCUCUGAUGUCAGUGAGUUACAUGAUCUCACGGUCAUAUGAAUGAAUACUUGACACGCAGAAAAUAAUAGCAAUAAAAUGACACGAUCACAUGCUACGUUUAUAAUUUGGGUCUUGUCCAUCACAUCAUUCUCCACUUAUCAAGUGACAACACUUGCAUAUGGUCAGAAAACCUUAACCAUCAUUGAUCAACUGGCUAGCCAACUAGAGGCUUACUAGAGACAUUGUUUUGUCUAUGUAUCCACACAUGUAUCAAUGCUUUCAUUCAAUACAAUUAUAGCAUGGAUAAUAAAUAGUUAUCUUAAAACAGGAAAUAUAAUAAUAACUAUUUUAUCAUUGCCUCUAGGACAUAUUUCCAACAAUGCAUGUAUGUGUUCAUAUGGAUGAAUGUAUGUGCAUUUAUGUGAGCAUAUAUGAUUAUACUAUGUUUAAAAAAAUGUGCAUGUAUUUUAAAAAUGUGAACUUUUGAUAAAUGCUAUACAAACAAUGUUCACAUUAUUUUAAAAAAGUUAUUCACGCCAUUCAAAAAAAUGUACGUGAGAUUUGAAAAACUGUUCACACAUUUAAAAAAAUGUUCAUGUCAUUUUAAAAUAAAGAAAAAUAAUAUGUCUGUGUAAUAUAAAUAUGUUUAAUUCCAUUCAAUAAAAAUAUUCACCCUGUAUUAUAUUCUUUUAACAUUUAUUCAAAAAGAUGUUCAACAUGAAUUUGAAAAUGUUCAUCAUGUAUUUAAAAAAUGUUUAACAUGUAAUAUUAUUUUUUGCGUGUAUGCAAAAAAAUGAACGUGUAAUGAAAAAGUAAGCAUAUAUUUAUACAAAAAGAAAAAGAAUAAGAAAAUGAAAACUAAAAACCCGAUAAGAGAACACAUGUUCAAUCUUAAAAUGUUGUGUCGAUCCGGUAUCUCAGAGGUGCUCGCACGGGUAAUGUAUGCAUAUAUAUAUUCAUAACGAUGAGUGUAUGUGCGUGUAUGUAAGCAUCUAUGGUUGCACCGUGUUUAAAGAAUGUGCACGUGUUUCAAACAAAUUAUGAUAUUUGAAAAAAUAGUUAUACAAACAAUGUUAGCAUAAGUUUAAAUAUGUCUACUAGCACUCAAUAAAAUGUACGUGAUACUGAAAAAUGGUCACACGUUUCAAAUAUAUGUUUGUAUCAUUUAAAAAUAAUAGAUAAAUAUUUUUGCAUAAUAUAAAACAUGUUUCGUACCAUUCAAUAAACUAUUCAACGUGUAUUUGAAAAUGUUUAAAAUUUAUUAGAAAAAGUUCAAAGAAGAAUUCAAAAAAUAUACAUCAUGUAUUUGCAAAAUGUUCAACGUGUAUUAAGAAUAUACUAAGAGUGCACUAAAAAAAGUACAAUAUAUAUUAAAAAAUAGACAUGUAUUUACAAAUAAAUAAAGGAAAAAACCAAAAACUAGCAAACCGAGUAAGAUAACACAUAGAAAUAGAAGAAGAAGAACAAAUGAAAGGUUCUACAACCGAUCGAAAGGACCUUUGAUGGGCUAGCUUACUAUGUCGAGGGCGCACCGAUCAGAUGCUCCUCUCGUCGCGGACGAGAUAUAGCAAAAUCACUAGUUAAAGGUUACCUUUUACAACGUUCAUGUCCGACCUUUUCAAAGGCUGUCAAGUGACACACUACAGAUCCACCACUUGUCGUAAUCUGAAAGUUUUUUUUCAUAGAUUCGUGUAUUCAAAAUAUUUUAUUUUUUAAAUCAUGCAUCCAAAUAUGAAACUUUUCUUAUUGUUGGAUUUCUUGUGCCGGGAUCUUUGAAAAUAUAUCUCAUGUUAAUAGAUUUGAGUUGUCUUUUUUAUUCACCAAAAAGCUAAAAACUAGAAAAUACAGAAACAAAAGAAACAAAUACCAAAAGACCAAAAAAGACAAGCGAACACCGGAAAGGCGAAGAAAGAAAAGAACCUGAAAGCACGGUUGCGGUUUUCACUUUCUCUGAAAGCACAUAAUGUACUUUUCUCUUUUCUUUAAGGAAGCAUAGGUUAUGCUUACAAUGUUGUGCUUUUUGCGGCUCAUAGAAGCUGUGUUGGAUGUUCUCUUUUUGAGACGUAGUGCUUCUCGUGUUGAAGCACAUAUUUGUUUUCUUAGAAGUACGAUUGUGCUUAGAAAGAAUAUGUUUUUCUCCAGUGUAAGGAAAGCUGGACAAAGAUUGAAAACCCGGAAAAAACAUCUAAAAACCAAACGAAUGCAGAAAUAUCUAUACCACUACAUAGUGUACGAGUUUUGAAUUGUAACUAAAGCAUCAAUCCUAGCCAUUGGUCUCCAUUAUCUAAUGGUUGAGGGUUGAAGGAUUCACGGUGAACAGUAGCACACAGCUACUUCUGCUGGGUUCUGAAACCAUCGCUUCACAACUCCUGCCUGCUCUGUCAUUUUGCAUUGUCAGGCUGAGACCUAAAUACCAGAGUCCACAGAUGCAUGGUCUGGUCUAGGAGGAGGAAGGAAAAAACAUAAGUAAACAAUUUAUGGGGUCCAUCACAUACAUCUGCCUUUGUUUUCCGGAAAAUUCUGGGUGUCACCAGGCUAGGGGAGUUGCAUCAUAUACCAAGUUUCUACUACAUAAUUUAUGCAUGCAUACAUUUCAUCAUAAAGUGUUGUAUACCCAUUUUUUUAUUUUACAAAAAUCAUGAAUAUAAUAUUGUUAAGACGUGCAUUGCACGUGCAUACAUACUAGUAAAAGUAAAAUCCUGAAAAAGGGAGCACUACACAAGGUAGUGGCUGAUGGACGCAUCAUUUGACACGCUUCCAAAACACAAAAAUAACCCUUGUGGAAGCCCUCUCAAGAUCUAAAUGUGACGCUCUUUGCGGCUCGCCUGGACCGGCCCAAUUCAUGAUCGCGAGGUCAAAAAACAGUAUAACACGCAAGAACCAACACCUUUCCUAGGAUUCGAACCCAGAGAUCAAAGUCAUGCACGUGAUGGGCUAGCCACUGCGACAACCAAGCUCUUGUGCUCUAUUUGCCGUGCAAUAUUAGAAGAAACGGAAGACAACGGCGGAACAAUUGAACAAAUUGUAAAACUGAUUACAUUUUUCAAAUACAAACAGUUUUCCAAAUGUCCCAAACAUUGUCUGAAAAACAGGAACAUUUUUUGAGAUGAAUAUUUUCUUUUCCAAAACACAAGUUUUGAAUUUGCGUUUUUUUGAAAGUGGAAACAUUGGAAGCAAAUUCCGGAACAUUUCUUUGUGCAAAAAAANNNNNNNNNNNNNNNNNNNNNNNNNNNNNNNNNNNNNNNNNNNNNNNNNNNNNNNNNNNNNNNNNNNNNNNNNNNNNNNNNNNNNNNNNNNNNNNNNNNNAGACUAGUUGAUUGCUCCCCCAUACACACUAUGGGUGAGCCGCUCUUCAAAAUAUCUUCACAAGUCCAUUGCCACCAUCCUCCACCACUUGACAUCAUCCUUCAUGGGUUGUAUGAGAUCUUCCUCUAGACGCAAGCCCAUGGAAACACACCUAACCCUACAUAAAACUCUCACGAAGACCAUGGGUUAGUACACAAACACGUAAUGGACAAUGCUUACCCUACCAUGGGAUCACUUGAUCCCUCUCGGUACAUCUUGUACGCGUUGUGNNNNNNNNNNNNNNNNNNNNNNNNNNNNNNNNNNNNNNNNNNNNNNNNNNNNNNNNNNNNNNNNNNNNNNNNNNNNNNNNNNNNNNNNNNNNNNNNNNNNNNNNNNNNNNNNNNNNNNNNNNNNNNNNNNNNNNNNNNNNNNNNNNNNNNNNNNNNNNNNNNNNNNNNNNNNNNNNACUUGGUCAUCAUAUAAACUCCUUGAACGCAAUAGAUGGACUUCAAGAAGUGCCUAUGGACAAAUCCUAUAAAUAUAACUUAAGGCAACCAUUAGUCCAUAGGAUUUGUCAUCAAUUACCAAAACCACAUAUGGAGAUAUAUGCUCUAACAAUCUCCCCCAUUUUGGUAAUUGAUGACAACCAUUUCAAGAGAGUUUAUAUAAGGAAAUAAGCAUAACCAAGCGCACACAUACAAACCAAUAAUGCAUGUGUGCAAGAUGUAAAUGCUUACACAAUAAAAGCAAAACCCUCUAAACAUAUCCAAAGUAAACUCUCUAAACUUCUCCCCCAUUAGCAUCGAUUGCCGAAAUGGACGAAAAGUUUAGAAAGCCAAUAUAGUAGGUGGUCCUCCAAAAAGUAUGUAUUUGUCAGCAAAUGAGUGCAAAGAAAUACACAAAUACACUGAUAAGUAGUUGGAGGAAAACAAACUACAUUGAGGACCCAAAGAUUGCAAAAAGAAGGGUCGUAUGGCACAAAGACAUACAAAAUAGAAGCAAGCAAUCAAAAGAUACCAUAUGGAACAAACAAUCACAUGGUCCUUUGAACCACAUGAAUAAAAGAUACUAUGAUACAGGCAAAGGAGUGUUUUAUCAAAAAUAGAGAAGCUCCCCAUGAUUUGUGUACUAAUAAGAGAUUUUUGUAUUUGAUACAAGUGCACAAAAUAGGAUCGUUGCUCCCCCAAAAUUAAUAAAAACACACAACGAGUGCAAGAAGAUAGACGAGACAAUAAGCAUAUCACUUGCACAAAACAAAUGGUUGAGCAACAUGUAAAAGAAGAAACUUAAGAUAGGCUCAACUAAAAUAAUGUGUGUGAGUCAUGGCGAAGCACUUGAGAAGACUAAGAUAAGGAUGAGCAUUACUCAUCAACAUAGUCUUAAUGAAAUGAGAAAAAAAGUGCAAGACAUAUCCUUUCCACACACACACAACUAGAAAAUGGGUUCACAAGCUUACUAAAAAACAAAUUGAGAACCAACGCUUGUGACAGCCCAUGGUGAAGAUAGGAAAUAAUAACCUUGUCAAGAGGAGGGAUACCAAUCGAAAUGGCAAAACCCUCAUCAAGACAAGCAUGAGGAAAAAUAAUCUUCACCACCAAAGAGUGCAUCAAGAUGCAAGAUUAUAAGAUACACACUCAAGACAAAUCCUUUCACGAAGCCACCAAAAACGGAAAAAGGAAAUGUAACGGUGGACGUGAAAGAAAAGAGGAUAUCAAUUAGAGAUGUAACUUCUCUCAUGUGUAAAAGAUUCAAGGUGGAAGGCAAUUGUGAUGAUAUAUAUCCACAAAGAAGGAUGUACACACGAAAUGGUUACAAGAAGGAACAAACAACAUAUCGAAAAGGAAGUCAUAAAUAUAUCAAUAAGGUCUUUGCUUGGAAGCAUAGCACAUGGCCUAAUAUUUUCUUAUUGUACAAUAUGAACUUUCAACAUACGAAUAUCAAAGACAUCCCAACUAGCAAUAAGACAUCAUUGUUGGAUGCUUUGAGAAAGGAAACAAGUACCACAAGAACGAAUCAAGAGAUUCAUGCCAUGAUGUAGCCUGGCCAAGAAAAGAUAGGUUUGGGCCUUUGCAAGAAAUGAAUGCAUGAAGUAGAUACUUGUUACCGAGACAACAUUGGAUUGAUGUAGUAGAUAGUUGUUCGUUGUUCAUCCUAACUUGGCUCCAAUAAUCACAUGGUCUCAAAACCUUCCUUGUAGGUGAGCCGAGCAUCCAACACAUCUCCAAUUGUUCCUGGAACAACAAAACAAACAAAAUGGUGCCCAAACUCAUUGGGACCAAAGAGUUAGAAAACCAACAAUACAUAGGACAAACUCCACAUACAUAUGUGCAUAUAGAUAUGAAUUUGAAUUUCAUGCACACUUUAGCCAAUUUAUGACAAGGUGGAGUUUCCCCUAUAUAUUGGGUCAAAGAAAGAAAGCAAGCAAAAGAAGCUAUAUAUAGUAAAUAUGCAUGCUCAAGGCAUUCAAGAAUCAACUUAACACAAAGUUGAUAGGACACCAAAAGACAAGGUAUCAAGUGAUAAUAAGAUACCAAACAAAAAACUAUCACUCGAAGGAUAUCAAUUAAAAGAUACCUCAAGGAAUGGUAUAUCCAUUGACACAUGCCAAAUAAAAGGAAACAGGAUACCAAUUGAAGGAAAACAAACACGAGGUAUCUAGUUUCCAAAAGAGAGCUAGGUUCCAACAAACCAUACCCUCGACAAAUUUUCAUGAUGGCACAAAGCAUCAUAAAGAGCAAGACUUACCUCCCAUAAACACGCACUUUAUGGGGCUCAAAAGAUGUUAUGAUAAACGAAUAAAGAGAGUGUUCUAAAGAAAAUAGGAUAGCUCCCCCAAGGGAUGUGCAUUAUAUAGAAUUAGCAUUUAAGUACAAAAUGCACAAGAUGGGAUCAUCACUUUCUCUAUAUCUAUAAAACACUAGACAUGAUAAAAUAGAUCCACAAGAGAGUCAAGGAAGACAAACGGAACACAAAAUCAAAUGUAAAGAUGAUUAGCAAUUUCUACCAUAUGAUGGGAAUACCAAUUGUCAAGGACAAAAAGUAUUUUGGAAAUAAUACUCAUUGGUAGAUCGCAAAUAUAUACAACAUCAUCUUUUACCCCUAAUACGCAAGCAGAUGACACUUGUAGAAAUAACAUGCCACCUAGGAACAAGAUAAUUCACAAUAUCAACACUAAGUGGCAAUACCUCAAAUGUACACAUUUUCUAGGCUUGUAAUAUGGACAUAGAAUAUUACUCCCAAAUAAUGUGAUAACCCAACAAUAUUAACAAGUGGCAAAUUAAAACCAACAAGAGAUAAUUAAUGGACCAUAUAGAAUUUGAAUUUAUCAUGAGUAAGACAUACCACAUAGAAACUAGAUAAUCUUGAAAUAUAAAUACUAAGUGGUAUUCCCCAUUGCUACGGCGACAACAAACCUUCCCCGGCAACAGCGCCAGAAAUCCUUCUCCUACGGCAACAACAGACCUUCCCCGGCGACGGCGCCAGAAAUCCUUCUACUGCGGGCUACGCCUAUAGGGAUUUCCUUGGAAAAUAUGCAAAGGAUUCCCCCGCGGACUUGGAGCCUUGCAUUGGUGUUCCCUUGAAGAGGAAAGGGUGAUGUAGCACAACGGCGGUAAGUAUUUCCCUCAGUUUGAGAACCAAGGUAUCAAUCCAGUAGGAGGAUCGCGUCAAGUCACAAGGUCCUGCACAAACACAAAGAGCUUGCACCCAACGCUAUGAAGGGGUUGUCAAUCCCUUAUAGAUUGUUUACAAAGUGAGAACUAAAAGCAAAAAGUAAACAAAGCAAAGUAAAAGUAAAAGUGGAGACGAUAGUUGUGAAUAGACCCGGGGGCCGUAGUGUUCACUAGUGGCUUCUCUCAUGAAAGCAAGUAGACGGUGGGUGAACGAAUUAUAGUCGAGUGAUGUCAGUUGUGCUUCCCUGGCUACGGCGCCAAGAAUAGUCGUGUUGACGGCACCAGGAAUCCUUCUGCUGCGGCUACGCCUUAAGGGACUUCCUAGGAAAGUAUGCAAAGGAUUUCCCCCGUGGCCUUGGAGCCUUGCGUUGGUGUUCCCUCGAAGCGGAAAGGGUGAUGUAGCACAUCGAUGGUAAGUAUUUCCCUCAGUUUGAGAACCAAGGUAUCAAUCCAGUGGAGGAGUAUCACAAGAUCCUGUACAAACACAAAAACUUGCUCCCAACACUAUGAAGGGGUUGUCAAUCCCUUAUAGAUUGUUUGCCAAGUGAGAACUGAAAGCAACAAAGUAACAAAGCAAAGUAAAAGCGGAGGUGUAAACGAUGGAUGUGAAUAGACCUGGGGGCCGUAGUGUUUACUAGUGGCUUCCCUCAUGAAAGCAAGUAGACGGUGGGUGAACAAAUUACUAUCGAGCAAUUGAUAGAACCGCGCAAAGUCGUGACGAUAUCUACGGCAAUGAUUAUAUCCAUAGGCAUCACGUCCAAAACAAGUAGACUGAUACUUUCUGCAUCUACUACUAUUACUCCNNNNNNNNNNNNNNNNNNNNNNNNNNNNNNNNNNNNNNNNNNNNNNNNNNNNNNNNNNNNNNNNNNNNNNNNNNNNNNNNNNNNNNNNNNNNNNNNNNNNCUAACUACGGACCCGUAGGUCUGAAGUGAACUACUCACGAGUCAUUGGAGGGGCGAUGAUGAUGAUGAAGAAUCCCUCCAACUCCAAAGUCCCCUCCGGCAGGGUGCCGGGAAGGGUCUCCAGAUGAGAUCUUGCGGAAACGGAAGCUUGCGGCGGCGGAAAAGUAUUUUCGAGGCUCCCCUGAUUUUUUCUGUAUUUUAGGGAAUAUAUAGGCCAAGGAUCUAGGUCAAGGGGCGGCCAGGGAGGCCACAAGCCCUGCCACCACUGCCUCUCCCUGGUGGCGGAGUGGGGGCUUGUGGGCUCCCAGGAGCCCUCCUGGCUUGGCCCACAGGCCCCCUGAUCUUCUUCCAUUCGGGAAAAAAUCAUUUCGGGGAUUUUAUUCCGUUUGCACUCUGUUCCAAAAUCAGAUCUGAAAAGAGCCAAAAACACAAAAAAACAAGAACUGGCACUUGGCACUAAAUUAAUAAGUUAGUCCCAAAAAAUAUAUAAAAGGUAAAUAAAACAUCCUAAGAUGACAAGAUAACAGCGUGAAACCAUCAAAAAUUAUAGAUACGUUUGAGACGUAUCAAGCAUCCCCAAGCUUAACUCCUGCUCGUCCUCGAGUAGGGAAGUGAUAAAGAAUGAAUUUUUGAUGCUUUCAUGCUACCUAGAAUAGAUGUCCUUUGUAACUCCUCUUAUGUGACGUGAAUGUUCAGAUCCAUUAGAUUCAAAACAAUAGUUUGCUAUUGACGUGGAAACAAUAAUAAUUCAAGCAAACUAGCAAGGUAAUCAUGAACUUUCAAAAUAACAAGGCCAAAAGAAAGUUAUCCCUACAAAAGCAUAUAGUCUGGCUAUGCUCUAUCAUCAUUGCACAACAAAUUUAUAACAUGCACAACCCCGGUAUUGGCCAAGUAAUUGUUUCACACCUUUACUUUUUCAAACCUUUUCAACUCUCACGCAAUACAUGAGCGUGAGCCAUGGUUAUAACACUAUAGAUGGUAUGGAGUGUGGUGGAGGUUGCAAGGCAAAAAAAAGAUAGUCACAUUAACUAGGCAUAUCAAUGAGAUGUGGAGAUGCUCAUCAAUAGAUAUCAAUGUGAAUGAGUAGGGAUUACCAUACAAAUGAUGCACUGGAGCUAAGAGUAUGUGAAAGAUCUUAAAGAAAACUAGUGGUGUGCAUCCAACUUGCUUGCUCACGAAGACCUACGGCAAUUUUGAGGAAGCCUAUCAUUGGAAUAUACAAGCCAAGUUAUAUAAUAAAAAUUUCCCACUAGCUAUAUGGUGGUGACAAAAUGAGAGACUCUCAAUCAUGAAGAUCAUGGUGUUUAAUAUGCACAAGUGUGGAAAAGUGGUAACAUUGUCCCUUCUCUCUUUUUCUCUCAUUUUUUUAUUUUUUGGUGGGCUCUUUGGCCUCUUUUUUUAUUUUGGUGGGCUUCUUUGGCCUCUUUUAUUUCCUCACAUGGGACAAUGNNNNNNNNNNNNNNNNNNNNNNNNNNNNNNNNNNNNNNNNNNNNNNNNNNNNNNNNNNNNNNNNNNNNNNNNNNNNNNNNNNNNNNNNNNNNNNNNNNNNCUAUAGAAGGAUCUUAUGUGUCAACAGUUUUCUACUCCCUCCGUUCCUAAAUAUAAGACCUUUUAGAUAUUUCAUUAUGAACUACAUACGGAUGUACAUAGACAUAUUUUAGAAUGUAGAUUCACUCAUUUUGCUCCGUAUGUAGUCUCCUAGUGUAAUCUCAAAAGGUCUUAUAUUUUGAAACGGAGGGAGUAGCUUUCUAGCUGAAGAAUAUUCUACCUUGCAUGGUGUUCACUAUGUGCUGCCUGUAUACUGAAUUCAUGAUUGAUCUGUAGGCACUUAUUUGAUGCCAAGUAAUGGUCUAUACCCGCAUCUUAAUUCUAUACAAGUUUUUCUAUAGAUGUAGGUAGUGCUGAUGCUGCAAACCAUGUGUUGGGAGUGAGCUUCUAUUUUCACGGCGUUCUCUUCUCAAAAUAUGGGUGUGCUAUGUAUGGUUUGUUUUCCCCUUUAGAACAGUUAAACUUCCACAGUUAACAGUUGUAGUGCAUAAACCUGCUUUAGUUUUGCUGAAAAACUAUAUACAUAAAUGAAUAAAUGAACUUGAUCUACGACCCAUCCUUACAAUAAGGGAACUGAUAUUUUCCAUGUAUGUUUACAUUAACUGAAAUAAUAUGGUGUGCAUUGGAAAUUUUGAAUGAUUGAAGGAUAUAUUCGUGGAUUAUUUUUUAUUUUUUGUGGGCACGUGUCGCUGCGGUUCCACUUGCCCAUUGGUUACAAAAACUGCAAAAAGAUCUCCACCAGAGUACAUAAGAAGUGCUUUCAGUCAUAAGUGUGCAUGAUAUUAGCCACAUAUUUUCCAUUGGUAGAGCCUUGUUCUGCUGCAAUAAUUUAUUUUUCGAACUGCUUUGGUAUAGUUAGUUACCGCUAUAAAUACCUCCUACCGUAUUGCUUCUUAGUACCACAGUGCAACCAAGUUGUAUAUUUCUCUUUAUUUUGAGAUGGCAGAUGAGUAUGAUCGCAGCUACGGAAGGUCAGUCACAAACAGUGACGAAGGCGGGUACAACAAGACCAGCAAGGAAGACUAUGGCCGCAGCAGCGAUGAUACCGGCGGCUUCAACAAAUCCAGCAACGACAACAAUGAUGGUGGGUAUAAGAACACCAACACGGAUGACUACAGUAGCAGUGGCGGCUACGACAAGUCCAGCACAGACAGUUUCGCUGGCGGCUUGACCAAAUCUAGCACCGAUGACUACAAUGGCAGUGGCAGUUACAACAAAACUGGUGCCGAAGACUACAGUGCCAGUGGCGACUACAAGUCCAGCACUGACGAUUUCAGUGGCGGCCACAACAAGACUAGCACCGAUGGCUACGGCAGUGGAUACAAGGACUCCAGUACCGACGACCACAAGUCGAGCUCCGACGACUAUGAUGGUGGCUACAAGAACUCCAUCGCCGAUGCCGGCUAUGGGGAAGGUGGUUACAACAAAUCAAGCACCGAGGACUCCCAAGCCUACAUGAAAUCAAGCACUGAGGACUCCCAGGCCUACAACAAAUCAAGCACCGAGGACUACAGCAGUGGUAAGAAUACCUCCAACACUGAUGACUUUGACAGCAGUGGCUACAACAAGCCCAGCACUGGUGACGACAAUGACCGCAGUGGUGGCUACAACGAGUCCGGCGCCGACGGGUAUGCCACUGGAGCAGGCAAGACCGGCUCUGAUGAUUACUAGACAAAAUCGUCGCGAAAGCGAGUGUGUUUGCGGUGCUAAAUAUGUACGUGUGGUUGCUACUGCUACUGGUCCUUGCUAAAUGAUCAUGUUUAUGUAAUCUGGAGUAAAUGUUUAUGCGUCAUGUUUAUAAUUGAAUGUUAUACUUUGUCCUGUUGGUCCCAUUCUACCAGCUACGUUAUUCUAGCAGCUGUAUGUUACGACUGGCUGGCUGCAUUUUUUGAAUCGUUGUGCAUUGUGGGGCUUGCAGACGCGAAGCGCGAGAGUGUAGCGCUCACGUAUAGGACAAGGCAGACCUACUCCCCUUCCGCGAAUAUGUGUACAUCCAUCUUUUGUCUUAAGUUAGAGUUUUAAAUUUUUAACCAACUUUAUAGAAAAGAAUAGUAUCAUAUAUGACAUUAAAUUGAUACAUUAUGAAACUACAUUUCAAAACGAAUCUACCGACAGUAAUUUAGUGCCAUGAAUGCGGCUACGAACGGAGAGAGUAAGGGCCUGUUUGGUUCAUGACUAACUUUGCCACAACUAACCUUAGACAAAGUGUGGCUGCAAUAAAAAGUGUGGCUAACAAAAUGAACACCACAAGUGUGGCAAGAUUUGACAAAAAAUUGAGUGUAUGACAUGUGGACCAUAUAACUAAAAAAG
rnacentral:lncRNA from 1 species